CCCUGUGGCACUGGGAUUUGUACUUUUAUUAAGAAUAAUUUUUAAAAUCGUUUUUAUUACCUUGCUUACUCCACAUUGCUCUCCAGGCCUGUUUUUUAAUUCGUGCACACACACGCACACACACACACACACCCCUAUAUUUGACUCCCCUCCCCCACUCCCUACGUUGGUUCUUGGUCCUCCACCCCAACUACCGGGUGGGUGUUUUUUGGGAGGGGGAAGGGGAGCGCCUGUAGUUGUAUGAAUGACAGCGUCCGCCAUAUUGAUCAGAACAUCACACUAUUGGCAUGAAUAUGAUCAUUACUCUUGCUUGUGGAAUAUUUUGUGUCUCACUGCCUCCAUUUCUGUGUCUCUGUUUCAUUCUGUCUCUAUUUCUCUCUCCUCUUCCCUCCAUACCUCCCUAUCCCCGAAGGUCCGUAAUCCCGCUUCCCCCUGCUCUUCUCCUGGGGCAGUGAUUUUGAACUUGGCUAACAUGGAGGGGACCCAGCCCUAGACUGGGGUGGAGGAUCAGGUGUCUGCUGUUCAUGCGUUUGGUGCUGAAUUGGAGGCUGUGUUUUCUACGUCUCCUCGCCCCCCCCCAAAAAAGAGGGGAUUAGGGGAGGGGUCGUGUGCUAGGGGAAGGAGUGGGUUUCCAAGCGGUAGUGACUGGCACAGUUUUAUCCAAGGUAGAGGUGGAAGGGGGAGGGAAGCUGCCUGUGAGGCUGAAUGUCCGCCCCUUGCUGCCCCCAGCUCCUCUCCUCCCCCACCCUCCCAGCAUUGCUCUCCUGAUACCCGCAGUUUUCCUUCGCUCCGUGGCCUUUAUCAGUGUAUUUAUUUACACUCUGCAUAGGCCAUGUUCCAUGCAAUCUACUCACAAUGCGGAUUUCAGGCCCCACUUUCCGCCGCCCCCUUCUGCCUUAGCUAUCAGUUUCCCCUCCUAAUUAACUGGGGGUGGAUUUGAGUGAUGGUUGAAAAUUAAAACAAAAUGGGAUAUUCCUUCCCUUCCACACUUUCUCAAUAAGGAGCCUCGCCCCUCCUUCCCACUCGCAGGCUCGCUUCUUGCCCUAUUCACCCGGCAGUUCCUGGUGAGCCCACAGGCAGCUUUGCUUGGGGAGGGGGUGGCUGGCCGCAAAGAGGUGUGCGCCCUCGGGGCCUCCUGCUUCCGUUGGCCUGUCAGUUCAGGACGGAGGAGUUCGUUAAGACCGUUUAGCGAAAAUUCCAUGUCGCUUUGCUGUGACACCUUCGUGCACACACAGCUCCUAAUUAGGGGUUGCCGUACAGUAAACAAAAAUGAUUAUUUUUCAACUUGACAGAGUAGCCGAAGUAAUUGCAUCGCGUAGGGAAACAAUGGAAAAUAAAAACCCCUUUCGUGGGAAGCUGGGAGUGGGAGACGAAGCAUGCUUGCGGUUUCAGAACCAAGAUGCAAAAAAUCUUGCAUGUGUAACAGGCAUGACAAGCGGGUUCUAGGCGGCGCCAUGAUGGUAGGGAGUAGCGACUCGGAGACAGUUUCCCCAUCGGCUUGACAUGUUCUUAUUUUUGUUCGAGAGCUCCCUAGGGCUUUCUUCGAAGAGGCCCCUUCGGCUGGCCGCACCCUUCUGAACCAAGGCCCUUGCAGAUCGGUAAAUGCAGCCGCGCCACUCCUUUCUCCCGAGGGGGGACGUUUUAAAACUUCAGAAGUCUGUAAUCAGCAGUGGAGGACUCGGAGCCCGGUAGACGCCUCAGCCACCGGACUGGAUGAGGUUUCAGGCGUUGCAAGUGGUGGACAGCGCCCAGCCGAGGACGGAAAAGUCGAUGGGGCUCAGUUCGGGGACGCUCGGUUAGGCUCGGUGCGGUCUGGGCGCGGGGCUCGGAGAGAGUCGGCAGUGUUCGGAGCCGAGUCCGCGCUCUGGCGGAGAGAGCCGAGCCGCUUCGGAGGGGGUCGAACGCAUUCGGAAAUGCUCAUGGGAGGGGAGUGUGAAGGAGGGGCAGAAGAAGGGGGACAGGCCAGAGUCUGUAAAUUAACUUUGAAUCCACCAAAGAACUGCUUUUUCUGAACACGCCCCAUAAAUUAGGCUGAUUUAAUGAGAAGUUUAAAAAUAUAUACUGAAUCCCCCAAAGGGGAUACCUCACCUUUUUUUAUUCAAAGAGAGCUGAGCUUUCUGGGGAAAUAGGUGUGCCACUUUAGGAUGAAAAUUCAUAAUUAUGUACUGGACAGGAAAUCUUAAAUGAAGGAUGGAUGUAGACUUCCCAGAGAAAGUCCUAUGUGUCUUGUAUUUGGUUACACCCAGGAGGGGGGAAAAUGAAAUGAGUGAUGUUUGAGAUUGUUAAAUCAGGAAUCAGAGCAUUUCUUCUCUUUCCCUACACUUCUCCCCCCCCCCGCCUUUUUUUUCACCCUUACUGGACACCUUUUUCAAGAAAAAUAUUAGGAAAAACAGAUUUUGUAGGUAAAACAAUUUUUUUUUAAAGAAAAGCACAAUACACCAACUCUCUUCAAGAAGUAGGGUAGGUCUUUUCCAAAGGUCUAUCACAAAGGUUUCUGGUCCCUGGUUUGCCACAAGGGACCCUGGCAUCCUGUCCUCCUGAAGCAUUCAUGAAUGGCAGCUUUCCCUGUGAGCUCUCCAGCUUGGCUUGAAAUACAUCAGAUCAGGGCCUUGUGCCAAGCUGAAGGCAGGACUUGUUUUAUUAACCACAAAAUGUGGGAUUGGUGUCACUGUAUCCUAGUGACAAAUUUUCUUGAGUCCUCCCUUGCAGAGAUGGUUUUUGAGAUGGCCACUUGACUGAGAGUCACUUUGAGUCAGGAAAAUUCUACUGUGGAUGGUGCCAUGCCCGAAAAUCUAGGUGGCAUUUUAGAAAGCAGUUUCUAACUCCCUUGUGAAAGUCCAUUAUUGGUGACCAACCUAUCAGUCCAUAUGUACAGGUUAAUUAGGAGGCUGUGUUGUUUCACCUGGAUAGAUGAAAUUCAACAGAGAGCCCUCUUUAAGUUAUGGGUUAUCCUCGGGUAUAACUUAAAAUUAACUUUAAGUUAUAAGCCACAGUCUAAUAGUUCAGAACAUUGGAUUGAGAGUAAGAAUAUGGAUAUUCAGACAUCACUGAAUAAAACCCCUUCUAUUCAGCAUUUCCAGAAGAGCAAAGAGUCAUUCCAUUGAGCCUGUGUUCUCAUCCAUGCUGUGGUGUGCUAAUUAGAAGAAACAGGCUUCCAUAUAUUCCCAUAGUAACUGAAGUUAAAUGAUAAAGGACUGGUUGGUAGUUGCUAUUUAGAACAAAGGGUUAACGUCUUCAUCAGCCUAAGAUCAUUGCAGAGAUACUGACAUAAAGUUCUUCUGCUUGAUACCUGUUGUAAGGGGAAACUUGCAUCUCCUUAAGAGAUACCACAGUUUAGAAUGUCAUUUGAAAAACCUGAUUCUCAGUACUUACAUUAAAAUUUUUAUUUGAACAUAGUGUUUGGGGUUGUUUUUUUUUUUCCCUUAUGUGUGUGAUUGUGAAUUCGUAUUAGGGAGUUCUGUGUCAGACAAUCCAAAACAUUUGACUACUGAAAAAUAAACAGUGAUAAUUGAGAUAGCACAAACAUAAUUUUAUACAUAUCACAUGUGAGUAAUUAGUAAUUCUUUUUUGUGCAUGGCAUUUUAAAUAAUUUUGCUUGUUAGGGAGUGGUAACCUCACCUGUGAUACAGCUUCAUCAUGUUAUAGUCAAUCAAUAAGACUCUGAGUUAUUCUGACCAAUCAAACAUUUUUAAAAGAACUGUCAAUUUUAUUCAAUUACCAGCUCCUUACAAAGAAUUCUUUUAAUGAGUUGUAAUUUUAUCAGGUGUAGAAUCGGCAGAAUAUCACUUUCAGUGACUUCCCAGUUCUGAACAAAUAGUGACACCCACUUGAACCAUGUACCUGGUGAAAAUGUAAAAUGGACUGUGGAGUUGCUCUGGGAACCACAAUUUGCCCUCAUUCGAGAUGCUGAGUUUUCUGUAAUGUUGAGUUCAGGCUAUUCAUCUCUGGAGCAUUAGCAGAAUUUUUAGAAAGAUAAGAGAGUUCGAAGGUGGCCAUGAUGCAUUGCUUGCUAGCUGGUAGUCCUUACCAAAAUGGGCACAAUAAAAUAGAGCACUUUGGUUGUUCGUCCAUUCCCACAAUACCUGCUUAGUGCCAUUUUAAAACAAAUUUAAGAAUUUGCCUGAUGAAGACGUCAUUACUCAUACUAAUAUUCCAGCCUGACACGUGGGAUAUAUUCAGAGAACAGACCCCACCCUGUCAGGAAAGGCUGUCUCAAAAGGUUACCUGUCAGCAAAAAGCUGAUGGAUUUUUCCUCCCAGCUGACCCUGACUUUGUAAUUAGGGUAUCUACUGUUUGGUUUGAGUUCAGGGCAAGCUUGCAUUCUUCUUGAUCUUAGCCAAAAGGCCAAAAAGCGAUCAAGCUUGCAUGCUUUGAGCACAGUGCUCUUCAGCACCUAAUAACUGACAGGCAUUAAUGGAGGUGAAUAGCAACCUGCAACCAUUACUCCAUGAAAGUGCAGCCCUUCAAAAGGGCAUUUUCCACACUUGCCCGCAAGGUCCCACAUUGGGGUAGUAUUCCACAGAGAGCCACUCUUCUAGAUUUGUAGACUUGUUAUUUCUGCAGUCAUCUAGUUGGCUGCUUUGCCUCCCUCCCUUCAUCCCGUCUCUAUGUUUAUUCAAAUGGAUGCACCUUGCUCUCCAGAGACAGCGGCAGCUCAAACAGAAUGUCAGAUCAAGUAGCAGAUGAGUUCUCUUUUCCUGAUGGAUGGUGCUCUCUCCCUCCUUACUGUGCACUGAGCUGUAAAUACCAGCAGACCUUCCUGCCAGAAGAGUGGCAAACAGUUCACCUGAUCUCCUCGGGAAUUAGCUGUGGAAUUCUUGAACCUCAGUUACCUAUUGGAUUCUGAAGUGGAACAUGUAUGCUUGUUGAAAAGGGUCGUUGCCAAUUAGAUUAAAUGGGGGAUGCUUCAUGAGGAUCAGCAUGACUGGAAAAGAAUGCGGAACGGCUGUUCUAUGUGUGAACAGGGCUGGAUUAGAUGUAUGAUGCCCAGAGUGGGAGUGCUGUCUUGUUUCUUUUAACACAUGGAACUCCCAGAUUAUAUUUGUGCUGCUUCACAUGCCACAUCUGCUAAAGAUAGGACAAGAUCACUCAUGUUUUCCAGCUGCUCACAGUACCCUAACUCCAUUAACACUGGAGAUUUAAUAUAAGUAGAAUGAGGCCCUAUUUUUCUGAUAUGUGCUCAGCCCAUUUGCAUGCUGGGACUUGACUCCCUGUCUCCCAGGGUGUUUUCAUUCUCAUUUCUUAUGGAGCCAGACAGACCAUUAUCAACAGAAUACGUCUUGAUCUGAAAGACAACAGAAAAUCUGGUAAAGGGGUGAUUCCAAACGGAAAAAAAUAUAUAUUUGAAAGAGUUACCCUCAAAAUUGACACUAACAGAGAAAACUUUUGAUUCUGAAAAAAGAAAAAUUGUGUGCCUAUGUUUGUACAUACCCACAGAGUGUGUGUAGGUUUACAAAUGGAAAAUGCUAUUAGAAAAGCCCUCACCUCACUUUCUUACUGAUUGCCGCGUCAUAAAAAACUUGAAGGUGCUCAAAUGAACUCCAUCCUUAAGAAUUUCUUCAAAUAUGUGUCACAUUCUUAUUUUCUUCCAUCCCUCUCAUUUACACACUACUGGUAGAAAGGAAACUGUACAAUAGAUCCAUGAUUAGCAUGGAGGGAAAGGAGAGGAGAGAGCAGUGACCUGUUAACUGGUUCAGAGAAAUAGGUAGUUUCUUGUGUUUAGACAAGCAGUUUAGCAUGCUUCUCUAAAAUUGAGAGCUUUUAUCUGCUGAGCCAUCUUUAGAAGCAGUUUAGCACGCUUCUCUAAAACUGAGAGGUGGUUAAAAGCAUAGACUUUGCAAGCAGGCUGCCUGGCUUCAAAUCUUGGCUCUACUGCUAAGUAAAUAUGUGACCUUAGACAAGGCAUAUAACAUCUGGUGCCUCAGUUUCCUUGCCUGUAAAAUGGGACUGAUAAUAAAAAUAACUAGUAAUAGGAUUGUGGUGAGCAUGAAAUGAGCUAAUAUAUGAAAUGUGCUUAGAGCAGUGUCUAGAACUUGGAAAUCAUUAUACAAAUGUUAGUUCCAGUUUUUAUGCCUUUGAUUGAUUAGUGGGUGUUCCCUUCCCAUAUGGAGUUCUCUUGUCAAGUAAGUAUGUGGGACUUAGCCGCCCUGAGAAGCAGAAGGGGGGUGCUGUGGUUCAUGUUCAAGGCUUCUUCCCCUUGCCUGCUCUGCAGCACCAGUUAUAUAACAAACUGUGUUGUCAUAACUGAUGUGACAUUUUUAAUGGCGCAGCUGCUUCAGCCCAAGAGGCUGGGGUGACAUUUCAAAGGGUGUUAAAGAGCACUGAACUGGGAGUCCAGGUCAGUAGCUCUGCCUCUGCCCCUCCGAGGGCUCAGUUUCCUGAAAGAGUUGGACCAGGGAUACCCCAAGCUCCUUCCCUUUUGUCACUGGUGUAUGAAAUUGGGAAUUCCCUUGGUUUUCAGGGUCUUGAUGUUCUCAGUAUUAAACCAUGAAUUAUAGUUUUAUCCCGUGGGGGUGUGUAGUAUCCAUGGAAGUUCUUUUAAGGCUAAGUUAAUUGCAAAAUGGCAACCUCAACCACAAAGCUUUGUCAGCCAGGAAAUCUGUAGUUCUGAGAGGCAAUUUGAGAAAAACACCUCUAACCAAACUUUUCAUGCAGACAUGGUUCUUAAACCAUAGAGGAGGAUCUGAAAGUAUCUCAUUAGUAAGAAACAGGAUGUUUCUGGGAGGAGAGAGCCAGUGACAUUAGAAGAAAAGUGGUUUUUCUGUGGUUUCCAGGAUGCUCAGAAGUGGAGACACCAGUGGAAUUCACCAUGUGAAGAUGCCUGGGUUAAGGUGUCUAACCCCCAGGGAGCUGGGAGACUUGCAGACUAGUAAAAGGGGAGAAUCAGGAUAUUUUUAAUUUUGAUUCACUCUCUCAUUUGACUUUGGGCAGAGCAUUUGGCCACCUUGGGCCUCAAUUUGUUCAUCUAUUAAUUGGGUUAUGGGUUUUCACCAUAGAAUUUCUCAGGGCUCUUUCAGGUUUCCAGCUCUAAGAUGCAGUAAAUGCAAAGAGAAACUUAGAAGCCUAAAAGGCAGUGGGGAAUAGUGGGAGUAUUUACCACCCACAGCUUUUAUCUGCUGAGCCAUCUUUAGUUCUAAUUUUCUUUACAGAGAAGAGGAAAAACAUUGUGCUUUUCAUAGCACAAAAAAAUUAAAGUAAAAUAAAAUCCUGCAAGGCUAAUAGUUGAUGGUGCCCUGAAUUUGUCCCCCUACUCUCUUGAUUUGUCAACCAUCCUAGGAGCAAGCAAAAUGAAGAAAAGAGAAAGGGAGAAUAAUAUGUAAGACUAGCACUUCAUAGCUAACAAUUUACCUUGCAUUCUCGGCCUGUGUCUUAGCCAACAGAUAUGUUUUCUGUAGAAUAUUGUUACUUAUGAGAAUCUCCAUGAUAUAAAAUUGACCCUGGAAUCACCUAUUGCCAGGGUCUCAGAUCACUAAUGCAUAUUGCACAUUGUAAAUUAAUUAGGUGUUUAUGUGUCUGUAUCCCUUGCUAGCCUGGGUGCCCCUUCCUACCAGGGCUUCCUAAAGCAAGGAUGUUACUUAUUUUUGCUCACCGUGUAGCACCAGGCCCAAUGCCUGUCACAAAGGAGGUCUUAAUAAAUGUUAGUUGAGGAAAAGAAAGGGUACGAGGUAUACAAGGACUGAACUUUAUUAUUCUACAUAAAUCAGAAUGAUCAUUCCCAAGGAUCAUUUAUGUGUCCCAUCAUAAAACAGAACACAUCCCAAGGUGGCCAUGGGAUGUGUUCAUCAUUGUCAAUCUAUUAUCUUUAUUUGUUUAUCAACCUAUGAGCAAAGAUAGUCAUCAAUUCCAUUUUACAGAUGAGGAAGUGAGGUACAAAGAAGUAAGGUGGGUUGCUCAAGGCCACACAGCUUAGUAGGUGACAGGGUUGUAUUCAGACAAUGAUUUUUCUAAUUCCAAAACCUGUGUUCUUUUCAUUGUAACUCCACACCUUUCUUACUAGACUACCACCAGCAUGGGCAGUAGAGACCAAGGGCAGUGGAGGCUAGGACCUCACACCCAGAUGGUGAUUGCAGCAGCCAUGGUUGAAACAACAGCAAGUGCCUAAUUGGUGCCGAGUUCCUUCUGGAAGUAGUAGUAAUGAUCAUAUAUCACACCGAUCUGGACACCAGAGUAUUCCCUAGCAACCAUCUGGGCAGGCCCUGAAAUAAUUUUCCAUUGCUGCCUCAAAAAUGGGUGCCAGUUUCAGAUUGCAACAGAGACAAGGCUCUGGCUUUGGUAGAGGCAGGUGUCUUGGAGAACCGUGGAAAGACAGGAUGGUAGGAAAUCCAUUCAUCUGUCCAUCCAUAAUCAUUUGUGAUUGCCUACUUUGUGGGUAGCAUACACACAGUGUCAUGGAGGUAGAGAGGAAGGCCUCAGUCUUUGUCCUGAAGGAACUCAUGGACUGGAGAGAGCUACUCGUAAAAGACUCUUGCACUUCAGGGUAGGAAGGGCCACGAUGUCUGUAUGCACAGUGUGCUGUGAGAGAACAGAAAAAACCUUCUUUAGGCAGGCAGUUCAAGGAAGACAGCCGAGAGAAAAUGGCAUGUGAACUGCGCCUUUAAAACAAGUGAUAGUUCACUGGGUCGAAUAAAAGGAAUGCCAGGCAGAGGGACUGGCAUGUGCAAAGGCAUUAAGAUGUGUCACCACAUAGAACAUGCUAGGAGUGGAAAAUAGUUUGAUUUGACUAGAGCAAAAUAUGUAAGAGGAGGGUUAAGAAAUGAGGAAUGAAAGAUGGGACAGAAACCAGAUCAUGAAAGGCCUUAUCUAUUAUGCCAAAGGACUUUGGAUUUUAUUCUGACAAUAAUGAGAUGCCACCUGAAAGUUGGCAUUAGAAACCUGUGUAGACUGGAGGGGAUCAGCUCUGGAGGUUGGGAGACCAGAUGGAAAGUUACUUCUGUGACCCAGGUGGGAAAAAGAUUAAGAACUAAGUUAAAGCAGUGGUAGUGUGAGUGGGGAAAGGAAACAGAUUCAAGAGAUAUUUGGGCAGUGAAAUAAUUUAGCUUAUUUGAUGAUCAGUUGGAAGAGCAUUGAGGAGGAGACAAAUUUUUUUUUUUUUUUGAGACGGAGUUUCACCCUUGUUACCCAGGCUGGAGUGCAAUGGCGUCAUCUCGGCUCACCGCAACCUCUGCCUCCUGGGUUCAGGCAAUUCUCCUGCCUCAGUCUCCCGAGUAGCUGGGAUUACAGGCACGCGCCACCAUGCCCAGCUAAUUUUUUGUAUUUUUAGUAGAGACGGGGUUUCACCAUGUUGACCAGGAUGGUCUCGAUCUCUCGACCUCGUGAUCCACCCGUCUCGGCCUCCCAAAGUGCUGGGAUUACAGGCUUGAGCCACCGCGUCUGGCCGGAGGAGACAAAUUUUAAUGAGUAUGGACAAAAAUGAGUCCAGAUCCCUGGUUUGGGCUACCGGUGGAUGGUAGUACCAUUCCCUGAGAUGGAAAAAUGCAGGAGGAAGGGAGAAGACUUGGGGAGAAAAAUGAUGACUACAUUUGAUCAUGUUAAUGAUUCUUGUGGAUCACCUGAGUGGAAGUGGGUUAGAUAGGACACACCUGGGGAGAGAGGUCAAUUUGAAAUUCUGUGGUGCUUUUGAGCAGUGAGAGCCAUGAAGUUGGUAACCUUAGCAGGCUGAAUGAGAAGGCGAGAGAAGGCAAGGAUCUGUCUCCCAUCACACACACGUCCCAGCUCCAGGAAAGGAGAAUAAUUUAGGAAGAGGGACCUGUGAGGAAACUGAGAAGGGGUGAUCUGAGAGACGGAAAAGAAAACCCAAGCAGAGUAGCAUUAUGAAAGCCAAGGAAGAAAAGACUUUCAAGGGCAGGAAGUGGUUAGUUGAGUCAAAUAUUGCAGUAGAACAGAUAAGAGUAAGAUUGGCAGUUGUCCAUUGAGUCUGGCAAGUUUUUGGUGACCUUGGCAAGAGAAGUUUCAAUAGACUGAUGAAAGAAAAGCCAAAUUGCAGUGGAGUUGAGAAAUGUAUGGGAUUGAGGAAAUCAAUGGAGGGCCCCCUCCCUGCCCAAAAGAAACGUGGGCUACAGAAAUAAGGGAUGAGAGGUAGGGAGGGGAAGAGCGGGUUUGGAGUCCUGGGAGGGCUUUGCUUUUAUUGCUCAUUUGGCUAACAUGGCGGUACUUGAAUCAAUUGGGAAGUUAUACAGAGCACUGAUGAAUGGAAAAGUUGAAGGUAUAGGAAAGAGAAAGUGGUAGAAGGAACAGCGGUAGAAGACCCUUAGGGGAUGGGCAGCUUGAUUUUGAUGUGAACAUGCGUCAUCUUCCCUAAGACAGACAGGAGGGCAGUAAGGAUGGGAAGUAUGUAGAAGAAUUCAAGGGCAGAAUGGUGAGGAUAGGAAGUUGAGGGAGUUCCUGCCUUAGCAUUUCUUUUCUUUAUGAAGUAAGAAUUAAAAAUCAGCUGUACUUAUUUACUGGAUACCAAAGACCAAUAGCAGUUAUUCUAUUCAAACCACUCAUUUAUUUAUCUAAUAUUUGUCUCACAUCUAUUACGUGUUAGGUACUGUUCUGGAUGCUUGGAGUGUCAGUGAUGAACAAGUUAAGUCCCAGAGGAAUCAGGCAAUAACCUCAUACACAAACAAUCGGACACAGUAAUUGCAGAUUCAGUUUCUGCCUUCAGAGAGUUGCAUCAGUUGGAAGAGACAAAUUCGAUUCUCCAAGGUGCAGAAGAGGCAGUGACAGAAUUUAAUUUGGACACAGGCUCAUGAUUAAGUUGGGAGGGAACUGGGUGGAGAAGUGAGAGUUGCCUGCACACCAUUGUUUUACUCCACCUAGCUUCACUCAUUGCAGGCUGUUCCAGUGGUGCUGCCCAUCACUGCCCCCUGCUGCUUGAAGAGAGAAGUGGAUACAUGACUCAGGCCUUGCCCUUCACAGGGUCUCUGGCCACAGUGAUUGGCCCAGGGAUGGGCAUGUGACUAAAGUGAGGCCAAUCAUUGUCCUUCUCUGGAAUUUUAUAGUCACUGUGAGAAAGAAGGUCUUCCCCUGGGAUCCCAGCAAGGUCCUCACUGGGCUGGAAUCAUGAAAGCUUGAGCUAGUUGUCUGUGGCCAUGUUUCCACAUCUCCAUUAUCCUCUGCAAGGAGGAAGCGUACUUAUCAUUAGAAAGACUGAGGUUUUGGGAGACUGGAGGACAAAAGAGAGAAUGGAGAGAAGGUACAGAGAGAGGGAGCCAGAAAGACAUCUGACAGUGAUACUGGAAUCUAUGGAGCUGGUUCUAUGGAGCUGACGGAUCAAUAAAUCUCUUAUGUUACACAAACUGAUUUGAGCCAGGAUUCUAUCCCCUAUGACCAAAAUCACGCUGACAAAAAGUGCAAGGCCUUCCAGGAUCUGAACUAGAAUGAGCUAAAGUACAGAAGCAAGCUUAGAACAUUCAGGACAGCACCAGGGAGAAGUGGGCAGGCCCCUGUGACUGCAGAGCUGGGAUUUGUGGGAAUAUGAAGAGAAGUGACUGGAAAGGAAGAGUAGGGCUCGAUUGUAGGUUUCCCUGAUUGUUUUUCUAAGGGAUAUAUAGUGUGCCAAGUCAGGAGAGCCUGCCAGUGGGAGGCUAGAGAUAAGGCUUUACAGCAAAGAGAUUUUUGUAGUCUGACCUAGGGAAUUGGUAGGAAAGGCAAUGUGAAGUUGGAUGGGGGAGAGAUUUUGGAGGCAGGAGAGAUGACCCCUGGUGUCUGGUUGAAUAAACAUGAAAAUAGUGUAGAUCAGAGAACUCCUCAUUUUGAACCUGUGAGAUGGCGUUUAGUUAUGCCAUCGAGUUAGGAAGCACGGGAGCAGGAAAGAGAUAGCAGAGAGAAGAUGGCAGGUCGACCCAUAAGCAUGAAUUUCAGGUCCUUACAGGAUAACAGGAAAUGUUCAACUGUUUGCUUGGGAAGUAGUUCUGGCAUUUGGAAGACAGAUCUGGGAUAGAAGAAAAAGUGGGCUUUGCUACCCAUGUGGCUGGGCCAUGAGAGUGGAUGUGGUGUCCCUGGGGUGAGCUUGCAGAUGGCCGGUAGAGGGAGGGCCCAGGGAAGGGGCCCACCAUUGUAGCAGUGAGGAAGAGCACUUGCCUUCAGUAGACCCACAGGUAGUUACAACUGGCAAAAGGAGCUAGAGAGCAGAGGAGCAGGAAGCAAACCCAGAGCACCCCCACAAUGGAUCCCCAGGAAGGGAAUGUGCUUCAGGAAUUCUGGGUGGCGAGCAGGGUUCUGUUUCAUGGCAUUGCCAAGUUAGGUAAGGACUGAGGAAAGACCGUUGUAUUUGAAGCUAUUAUGGGCUUUUAAAAGUACAGUUUCAGUGGAGGGAAAGAGAUAAAAAGCCAAACUCAAGAAAAUUUUAUGGUAGAAAUAGGUCUGGACUGGGAGUCAAGAACCCAGGUUCUUACCCCAACUCUGUUCCUGUUGAGCUUGAUGGUCCCCAGGCAAGUUCCUUAACUUCCCUAGGACUUAGUAUUCUCACUUAUACAAUUAGGAAACUGGACUGCAUGAUCUAUAAGCUUCUGCUGCAGUCUUGACAUCAUAAUUUAUAUCUUCCUGUCCAGCAAAUCAGAUGUUCUUGUGGCAGAGGAAUUCCCAUCCUUCUCCCUUGGCCACCCCCAACUGACAUAAUAAAUUAUUUUAAAAAUUAAGCUUUCAGAACUCUAGUGCUAAUUGAGAAAGAAAACUGGGACAUCAGCUCAGGGAAUUGUGGACACCAGUGCAUGUUGUGUCCACUUGUACUCUCCACUGAGAAUGUGGGGCCCUGGGAGGUAGGAAAUUGUCUUGUAAUGCUGUCAGGGUUACAAGACCAGGAUGGUUUGAUGCUCUUCCACAGGGAGAAAUGCUGAAGGUGGUUCCACAGUACAAAGACAAAACAACUCCUGGGGUCCCCCUCUUUCUGGAUUCACAUGGAAAGAAGAAGGAAGGCUGUGAAUCUGAGCUGGCUGUGUGUAGGAGCUCCAGCCAGGGCAGGCAACAAGAGCUGGAAGGACCCAUGCCUCAGGAGAUGGACAAGCCUGAGGGCACCAGUGGGCAAGGGCAGGAGAAGCACACACUCUUAUCUUUCUGGUAUUCUGUGGCCUCAUUCGUGGGAGGACCUUGGGGAGGGGUUGAUAGAAUGGCAAGGUGGAAAAAGAACCUAGUUCUGAGCUGUGGCCAUUCUUCCUACUCCUAAUUCCCCAUGUGCUAUGGAGGCCCUGUUUCUUCUUUGAAUUCCUUAGAAUUUCAACCACAUGGCCCUCACUAUUCCCUGUCUUCUUUGGUGUGCAUUUGUUCCUCCUGUGAAGGCCAUUGGAAGACCAGCCAUACUUUGGCACUUUCUCUGUUUCUAGGAAUAGAUCCCUUACUAAGAUAGACAAGCUCUCUGCCCUCAAGAACCUUGCAGUUUUAGAGAAGGAAGAUAGCACAGGAAUAAUUGAAGGCAAAGGUCAUUUCAUAUAGUCAUAGAUGUUGUAAAGGAGAAAACUGGUAUUAAAUUUGGUAUUAAAUAAUGGAGAGGGAUUGGGGGAGAUGAGGGAUAAAAAAGCAGGUCAGGAAAGAUUUGAGGAAGAGGAAACAGCAGAUGCAAAGGCCCCAGGGCAGAAAUGAGCAGAAAGAAGGCCAGGGGAGCUCUAGACCACAGGGAAGGAAAAGUGGCACACAGUGAGGUUAAAGAGGCUGUUAGGAGCCGUUGUUCAGGGAAGGCCUGUUGACCAUGGAGAGACAUUUGGGUUUCAUUUUGAAUGCCAUGGGAGAUUGACAACUUGACCUGACUUAUGCAUUAAAAAGAUACCACUGCAUCCUGGAAAAAGGCAAAACCACAGGGAUGGAAAUUACAUCAGUGGUUUCCAGGGAACUGGGUGCAGGUAGAGCCUGAGGGGCAGGAUUGUCUUGCAAAGGGGCACAAGGGACUUUUGUGGGUAAUGUAAAUAUUUUCUCUCUUAAUUAUGGUGGUGGUUAUACACUGUGUAUGUAUCAAAAGUCAUCAAACUAUACCUAAAAAGGGUGAAUUUUGAUUUAAGUAAAUUAUACUUCAAUAAACCUGACUUACAAAAUACAUAUUUUUUAAUCAAAAAAAGAGUUGCAGUUAGGCUUAGCAGAAUCUCUUUGGCUGCCCUGUGAAGGGUGCAUGGCAAGGAGCAAUCCUGGAAACAGGGAUGGUUGCAGUCAAAGCCAUACGCCCCCUCAAUGCUGUUCUUACAAUUCAGCCUGUAUUAUAUACUGUUCCUAGUGGCUUCCUUACAUCAGCUUAUUGAUGUGUAUUCCUAGUUUUCCUGUUUACCUAGCUUUCCCUUCAAAACUGGAUUGAAACCUCAAUGUGGGUAGAAACCAUCUGCUUCUUUUGUGUGGGCCCAUGGGAGAUGCUUAUUACAUAUUACUCUCCUUACAUUUAAGUGGCGUUUAACAUUUGCCAGCAAUUCAUUAUCUCCUUUGAGCCUUACAACAACCUUGUCAGGCUGCACAUAUGUUACCAUGUUCCCAUUUUACAGAUGAAGAAACUGAGGCAAAAAUAAGCCAGCAUAGCAGUAUCAAAGAAGCAUGAACUUUGGAGAUGUGGGCUUUACCAUUUGUUGGGUAACCACGUGAUUUGGGAAAAUUAUUCAGUCUCUCUGAACCUCAGCUUCCUGAUAGUUAAGAACAGACAAAAAUAAAUAAACACACUGCAGAUACACUGUGAGGAGUAAAUGAGAUAACAGCUAAAAGAAAGUAGCUGAUAAUUGAAAUUCCCCUAAUGGUAGCUAUUUGUAUCAUUUUUGCUAUGAGAGAAAACAUGAUUUAUGUAAGGUGAUGUGGCCAGUACAUGGUAGAACUAGAGCCUAGUUUUUCUGAUUCCAGUUGUGUUUCUUUCCAUCACACCACUCAGAACAUUCUUUCUUGUUAUCAGUUGAUUGGUCCAGGGCUAACUACUUUUUACCAACUCAGGUACUUAAAUACAAUUGUUGAUUAUUCAGCAAAUAUUUACUGAGCACUUACCAUAUGUUCAACACUGUUGUGGACACAGGAUAUAAUAGUGAGUCAAAAUAGGCUCCACCUCUGCCCCUACAAUUAAUAAAACGGUGAGGGAGCACUUACCUCAGUGUGGAGUCUGGGAAGACUUCCUGGAGGAGGUGACAUUAACACUGCUUUUAAAAGAAACAUUUUUGUGAUGUAGAUCAUAUACAUGCAAAACGUUUUAAAAAGCAAGCACUCAGGUAACCAUCACUAGUUUAAAAAGUAGGACAUUGCUAGUGCCCAAGAAUGUUUCUACAUAUCCCUUCUUGAUCACAGUUCCCUACCUUGCUCCCCAGUACCUUAACUUUUGUGGAAAGUUUUAUGCAUCCUUGCCUUUCUUUAGAGUUUACCACCUACAUAUGUAUCCUCUAAUCAUUUAGUCUAGUUUUGACUGGUUUUGAUAUAAUUGGAAUCAUGUUAUUUGUAUCUUUCCUUCAGUAUUACGUUCAUAAUAUCCAAGUUGUAUGUAGCUGGAGUUUAUUUUCAUUGCUCUAUAGUAUGCUAUAUAAUAUUUUUAUUUUUCUAUGUAGCAUUCAUAAAUAUUAGUGAAUAAUUCAUGAAUAUGUUAUAUAUUAUUCACUUCAUUGCUAUAUAGUAUUCAUUGUUUUGGACCAGCUAUGACUAUACUGUAAUUUAUCCAUUCUACUGUUGAUGUAGCUUUUUGUCAUUUUGAGUUUGGAGCCGUUAUAAAAGAUACUGCUAUAAAUUGUAUGUGUGUGUGUGUGUGUUGUGGAGCACAUGCAUUUGUGAAAGGUUCUUUGAAGAGGAAUUGCUGGGAAUCUUCAACUACACUAGAUAAUAUACAGUGUUUUCGAAAGUGGUAAUUCCAUUUUUAUACUCACAGUAGCAGAAAGAAUUUCUGUUGUUAUAAAUCCUUGCCAAUAUUUGAUAUUGUCAGACUUUUUCAUUUUUACCAAACCAGUAGGUAAGUAGUAGAUCUCAUUGUGGUUUUACUUUACAUAUUCUAGAUUGCUAAAGAAGAGUCGAACAGCUUUUCAUAUAUUUAUUGGAUAGUUGGAUUUCCUCUUUUGUGAGGUACUUGUUCUUUUGCCAUUUUUUAAAUUAGGUUGUAAUUUUCUCAUUAAUUUGUAGGUAUUCUUUAUAUGUUCUAAAUAGUAGUCCUUUUUUGUUUUUUGUUUUGUUUUGUUUUCAUUGAAAAUAUUACCUCCCAAUUCCCUGGCUUGUUUUUUCAUUUUGUUAAUGGUGUUUUGUGCUGAAGAGAUAUUUCUCUUUUUUUAAUAUAAUCAUGUAUUUCAGUCUCCCUCUUUUUGGUUAGUGUUUUUUUGGUGUCCUAUUUAAGAAAAAGUCUUUCUUUAUUUUGAGGUGCAGAAGCUACCCUCUACUUCCCCCCUCUUUAAAAAGCUUCCAAGAUUUUUUUUUCGAUUUAAGUGUUUAAUUUACCUUGUGUACGACGUAAGUUGUUUCUUCUCUAAUGGAUACUCAUUGGUCCCAGCUUUCUGUUACUGUUCUGUGGGGCCACCACUGUCAUAGGUUAAGCAUGUAUAUAUUCAGGGACCUGUCUCUUGGCUCCUAUAGCAUCCCACUGGACUCUGUUCUUAUGACAGUGUCACACUGUCUUGAUUUUGACAGCUGUAUAACAUGUCUUGGUAUUUGGUUUAGCAAAUCCCCCUCCCCUUGGUCUUCAUGAGUCUCUUGGCUAUUCUAAGCUCUUUGUGCUUGCAUGUAAAUGUUAGAAUCAGUUUUUGUGAAACACACAUACAUACACACAUACACACACACACACACACCCCUAUUAGGAUUUUGAUUCUAUUUCUUCAAAUCCACUACUCUGAGUAGAAUUGACAUCUCUAAAUCUGAGUCUUCCUCAUCUAUGAGCAUGUUAUAUUUUACCAUUAUUUAUUGUAAUUUCUCAUAAGGAUUUUUGAGAAAUUUUUCCCAUGAAGAGCUCAUGUACUUUUUGUUAGAUUUAUAACUAGAUACUUAAUGUUUACAAUGGUCUUGUAAUUGCUUCUUUUUUUAGAGCAGUUUCAGAUUUACAGCAGAAUUGAGAAAGGGGUACAGAAAAUUCACAUAUGUCCCUUCCCACACUCAUGCACAGCCUCCCCCUUAUCAGUAGUCCUCACCAGAGGGCACAGUUAUUCCAGUUGAUGAACCUACACUGGCACAUCAUAAUCACCCAAAGUUCAUAGUUUACCUUAGGCUUUACUCUGGGUGGUAUACAUUCUGUGGAUUUGAACAAAUAUAUAAUGACAUCUGUCUAUCAUUUUGGUAUCAUACAGAGUAUUUUCACUGCCUUAAAAAUCCUCUGUGCUCCACCUGUUCUUUGUUCUUCCCCCAACUCCUGGCUAACACGAAUCUUUUUACUGUCUCUAUGGUUUUGCCUUUUCCAGAAACGUCACAUAGUUGGAAUCAUACAGUUGGACUCAAAAGACUUCUAAUAUGUAGCCUUUUCAAAUUGUCUUCUUUCACUUAGUAAUAUAUAUGUAAGGCUCCUCCACCUGGCCUGGCAACUUAUUUCUUUUUAGCACUGAAUAAUAUUCUACUGUCUGGAUAUACCACAGUUGCUUAUCCAUUCACCUACUGGAGAACAUCCAAACUUCCAAGUUUGGGGAAUUAUGAAUAAACCUGCUAUAAACAUUCAUUUGCAGGUUUUUGUAUGGACCUAACUUUUUAACUACUUUGGAUAAAUACCAAGGAGCACAGUUCCUGGAUUGCAUGGUAAAAACAUGUUUAGUUUUGUAGGAGACUGCCAAAUUGUCUUCCAAAAUGGAUACAUCAUUUUGCAUUUCUACCAGCAAUGAAUGAGAGCUCCUGUUAUCUGCAUCCUCACCAGCAUUUGGUGGUGUCCGUUUUUGGAUUUUGUCCAUUCUAAUAUGUGUUGUGGUAUCUCGUUGUUAGAGAAAUUUGCAUUUCUCUAAUGACAUAUGAUGUGGAGCAUCUUUUCAUAUGCUCAUUUGCCAUCUGUAUAUCUCCUUUGGUGAAGUUUCUGUUAAGGGCUUUGGCCUAAUUUUUAAUUGUGUUAUUUGUGUUCUUAUUGUUGAGUUUUAAGAGUUCUUUGUAUAUUUUGGAUAACAGUCUUUUAUCUGGUCUUUUGCGAAUCUUUUCUCCUAGCCUGUGGUUCAUAUUCUCAUCCACCUUAAUUUUUGUAUAAUUCUAAUAGUUAAUUUGUAGAUUCUAAGGCCCAGGGAAGUGAUCUGUCUAGAUGCCUAUGCCUAGCUAGUAGCAGAGCAAGCAGGAAUGUGGUCCUAUUUCUGCUAACUUCCAAAGAGAGAAUAUUCAGGAAGAGUUAGAGAAAGCCAGGUGGGGAGAAGGAAAUAGUAUUUAUUGAACACCUAUUAUUUAAGAUGCUUAAUGUACAUGAUCAGCUUAACUUCCAUUGGAGGCAGAUCAUUGAUAACCCCUUUUUGUAGAUGAGGAAAGUAAGAUUCAGAGAGAUGAUCAAAUAAACUUGUUCAGGCACAUCAGUGAAAGAACAGUGUAGGGUUGGAGGAAUCCUGUUGCUCUGUCAAGCAUACACCAGACUACAUGCCUUCUGCAUUUGAGCUUAGACAUUCAUAUGUCUAAGCUUCUCAAAUGCAGAAGCUUAGACAUUCAUUUCAGGGUCCCCUCCCAGCUGAGCUCUGGGACUACCUCUACUAAAGCUGCUAGCAUCUCUAGACUUGUGCAGGCCUGGUUACUGUCAACUCUUGAGUUGAGUUUCUGCCCAAAGUUCUGAGGUCAGUCUCCACCCCUGCCCUUCUACAUAGUUCCCUCCCAACCAAGGAAAUGAGUUCACAACUUGUUGGCUUCUAGGAACCAAAUUAGGAGUUGCUCUGGGCAUUUUGUUUCAGUCCCAACUUGAAAAUGCCAUUGAGGUUUUAUGACUGCUUUAUUAUACAGAGGCCUAGAGAGAAUUUAUGGUCACAGUGCAUCCCAGCACCUACUCCCCCUUCUUGUUGAUUGUCCGGAGCUGCCUGCAUGCAAAGAGAGGGUUUGCUGCUGCUGGCUGUGCAAAGCCAUGGGGAAAUGCUGUGUGUGUGAACACAGCCCAGCAGUGCUUUAUUCAGCGUGACAGUUUCCGACGCUGGAACACACAGCUCUUCAUGGGUGACUGUAAAUUAUGCAACUCCAGAGUCAAACAAUGAGGAAUAAUGGGGGAAAGGAAGGGACAAACUGCAAAUUUCAGCCUGGAUCUGAAAUGUGAGUGUGCAGACCCAGACAACUUGGCGAUUGACGGGAGGAGAGUCUUCAACGACUGAGAAAAGCCAGGAAACCUGUCACAGGACUACUUGUGAGAGUGGGUUUUACUGUUUAAAAAAUGUAAAUGUUCUUUUCAAACUCUGUUUAUCAAUUCAGGGAGAGUUUUAGAAACUUGGAGGGACAUUUACGAAAGAAGGUAGUCUCAUGAGUUACCAAAAGUAAUUGAAUGCCAUACACAGUAUGUAACCUUUGUUCCCAUGGCUCCAAGUCAUCAUUUUUAUUAUUGCUUUAUGCUAAAAAUUGGUGCUCCUAAGGGUGAUUGUACAAACUCUCACCCUCGCCUCCACCCGUAAUGGCCCUGGAAUGUAGUGAACUCUGCUUCGAUAAGCUUUGUGUAAUGUUCCUGUCUCUUGGCUGACUGUCGUCUCUUAUGUCUUGCUGCUUUCAAAGGUCCCACCUCAAGCAUUAUUCCUCUUCUCUUGUUCUGCUGUGAGUCUGCGAUGACUCAGAAAACUAAAUGACCAGAUUUGUCACAACCGUGUGUAGGGCAAGAAUAAAUAGGAUAUAAGCAAGGACCCAAGGAGCAAUUCUAGAAGUAGAUAUGUCUUGAUAUUUGGUUUAGCAUAUUUGGCUAAAGCUUGUGAUUUACUGCCUGGACUUGUCUAUAUUUCCGCCUAUCUAUGACACGGGAUUAAGUAUAUAAAAAUGAAUUGGCAAUUGUGAGAUACUAUACAGAUGUAAGUGAUGGUGACAAGGUUGCCGUUGUGCUAUGUGAGUGCUUAGAGUUCUUCAUUGUCCUUCUCCUUCCUGGCUUCUGGUAGGGUUUCAAUUCACAGAAAUUGCUGGACAAGUAGCUUCCAGAUAAGAAUGAUGAACUAUCAUUUGUGACAAAAGACGUUGGACUGGCUCUAACAGCAAGGAGGCAAUAGGAAGACUCCCUAGAGCAAAGGGGCUCUGCCAGGCUUUUUCUGUAAAAUGACAUGGGCACAUACAGGGUCAGGCUACCUGUGGGCAGAGAUGUUCCUGGGAGCCCUGCCCAGUGGCCAGCACCACAGGUAUCUGCUCACCUGUGGGAGAACUCAGAAGUUGCACAGCUAAGCCAGGCCAGACCCAGUUGCCACUUUUCGGUCAAGACUGGCUCUAGGAAUUCUUCCAGGGAAGAGGGAAUGUGUAUUUUUCGGUUUUCAGAUGUUUGUAGCCUUUGCACAAAAGUGUUUGAAACUAUUUGGUUAAAAUGCUUUCCACCAUUGUUAUUGUUCUUCCAUUUUUUUUUUUUCAUUCUGCUGAUACUGAUUGAGCUUCUGCUCUGUACUGAGCAGUCUUAGGUGUUGUAACUGAGCAAGACACAUAAACUCUCUGCCCUUGUGGAGUGUUCUGACAUUCUUGUUGGGGGAGACAGGCAAGAAACAAGGAAAAGAUAUAGUAGUAUUAUACAUCAACUGGUGACAAGUGCUAUGGAGAAAAAUAAAGCAUGGAAGGGGCAUGAAGAAGGAAGGGAAUGUUCAUUUUUGGUUUUGGGGAUGUUUUUUGAGAUGGGGGUGGCAGAGGGUGAGUCUUGCUAUGUUGUCAAGGCUGGUUUCAAACUCCCGGGCUCAAGUGAUGCUCCCGAGUGGCUGGUAUUACAGGUGCAUGCUACCACACCUGCCUCAAUGUUACAGUUUUUUAAGUGUUUAGGGAAGGCCAUACUAGAAGAUUAAAUUGGAGAAAAGCGUUGAUGGAGGUGAGGGAGCCAGCUGUGUGCACAUGGGCAAAGAGUGUUCCAGGCAGCCAGAAACAGACAGUAAAGAGGCUCCAAGUCCCAAGUCUGCCCGGUGUGUGUGAGAACCACAGGAGCUUUAUAUAGCUGGAGUCACAAAAAAAACUGGAACAAUGGGCGCCCUUGUGGAGAAGUCAGUAGUUACUGUGGUGUGGUCUUUCUAAAGGCAGGGGCGGGAAAGAAAGCCCCAUCACAGACUCAGAUAGACCUGUGUCUUGUGGGCAUUUGGACUGUGUUAUUACCCUGCCAGGUCUGGGGCUUGGAGGUGGUGUCGUGUGUGUGUGUGUGUGUGUGUGUGUCUGUGUGUGUGUGUCUGUGUGUGUGUAUGUGUCCUGACAAGGGAGGGACAUGGAAGGGAAGGAUCCCUUUCAAGAAUGAAGGGGGUUGACUCUGGCAUAAUCUAGGAAGAAUUCUAGGAAGACUCAGUCAUUUCUGGUUGGUUUACAGGAGACAAACUCUGAACCUGUUGGGCUGCCUUGCCUCGUUGGUCUCCUAGUAGAGGAAGCCCUCACUGCUGGGGCUUCCCAUUGGCUCUGGCUCUGCCACCUGCUCUCCCAUAUCUGCAUUACCAGACCGUGAGCAUCGAGGCUCACACAGAACAAGGAGCCUGGCCCCCAGAACUCAUUCAGCGCUGCUGACCCAGCUUUGGGCUCUACCAUAAACAUGCUCAGUAAGCAAGCCUGGGGUAUAGGUGCAGACUCCUGGGAGCAGAGCCACAGGGCAGGUUUCCCCAAAUGUAUCCUGAAAGUUUAGUGGUAUAUAAGUAUACACUUUAUUUUAAUGUGUUUUAGGACAAAAGGUUCCUAACACAUCAAAACCAUGGUUUUACAGAUAAAUGUUGCGUAGGAUGAAAUUAAAGCAAACAGGACGUUUUUUUAAAAGACAAUAAAAAUCAUGCGGGUGACACAAAAACCCUAUCUAGGUUGUGCUAACAUCAAGUCUGCCCUCAGCAUGGGAGUGCCGAUUUCUGUCUAGGGGUUCUCAUUUCUUAGGUCUGAGAAUGCCUUGGAAGAAGUCCUCCUCUGCCAUCCUGGGAAUAUAGUAGCUAUCCCUCUGUCCCAACCCCAAGCCUGUGAGCUGCCCACAAUUCUCACUUCUUUCCAACACUUGCAUACUGGGUGUUUCUUUCCCAUUGCCUGGGCCUGACCUGGGCCCCCUCACUGCCAUCACUUCUCAGCCUUCCUGCGGGUCCAGUACAUAAAGUCUCCUCAGCUGCCUUCUAGUAAUGCUGUUUCUACCCUUCACUGCCCUUCUCAGUUACCCUGUGCAUUGGGUCUGGGCACUGGCUUGGCUUGGAGGACAUACCAUGGUGUAGCGAAUCACACUGAUCCUGAGCUGGCUCCCACUCCUACAGAACUCCUUCUCUCUAGCCUCCAUCACCUCCUGCCUCCAUACCCGUAGCUGCUGGCUGCCUAGGCAUGCUUCCUCCUCUUUCUCUGCAGAUCUGGCCUCCAAGGGCCGCUCAAGACUCAUCUGUUCUGUGGGGUAUUCUUCUGGAAGCUGAAUCACACUGGUCCCUCUAGUUCUCUAAUUCUUUUACACAGGAUGUCUGUACCACACCAUUAGAGUUUUUAUAUGCCCUCAAGGUCUCAUAGAGAUGACUCCUUAGUCUGUCUGGGUGGCAUAGACACACAAGCACACACAUGCACUCUUACCAGAACAGAAUAAUCUUGCUCACCACGAGCCUGACACAGAGCUCUGUGCAGGAACCACUUGAAGAGAAGCAGCUUCAGCACAACAACAGGUGCCAACAUUGGCCUGAAUCCUGGCAAUGCUACCUUUUAGCUUUGUGGCCUUGGGCAACUAGGUUUGAGGAUGAUAUGAAACAGUGUAGAAAUUACUGAGCCCAGUACUAGGAAUAUAAUACAAUAAUUAUGGUUGUUGUUGUUCACUAAUUGGCAAACAUUUGCUAUAUGUAGAUUUGUUUCCUUGUCUAGGCUGUAAACCUCUUGUGGAUUUGUGGGGCACAGUCAAUGUUCAGGGUACAUUUACGUAAUAAGUAGAGUGUUCCAUUUACACUGUUGUGGGUUCUCAUAAAUUGGCUCUUAGGUGUAGAAGUUUUUGCAAGCUUAUAUUAAACUUCAGUAUACAUACAUAAUAUAUAUCAUGUGUAUGUCUGGUUCCCAAUGGGUUAAGAAUUGUUGAGCUUACCAAAACACAGCUCUUUAUUGAGUACUUACUGUAUACAGGAGAGAGGGAAGUGCAUACCCCUGCUCUCUUCCUGAUUAGAAGACUUCCAUCUCUGACUGCCCCAUCUCCUUUCUUCUCAGCCUGGAUGGGUACCUCUGCUCCCUUUCCCUGCAGAUCUUGGAGUUUUCAGCUCUUUCAAGCAGGUGCUAAGGCCAGGUCUAAGCAAUAGAGGAGUGGGCGGCAGGGCUGUCGUGCUAAGCCCACGCUUCUUUAUGCUUAAAGCAAAAAAUCCAAAGGAAACAUCAUCUUGAUUUAGGCACUGGUUGCACAGCUGAUACAACUAUAAAAAUCCACUAAAAUGUACACUUAACAUAUAUAUGUUUUACUAUAGGUAAAUUGUAUCUCCAUUUUUUAAAAGGUGAUCAUAAUGCUUUUUGUUAAACAAAGGAAGGCCCAGGGAAUUAAACAUUGCCCCUCUGAGUUCACCAGCUUCAAUUCCACUGUGAGGGCCAUGCAGAUGGGGGAGGUAUUUGAACCCUUCAAAGUCAAGGAUACACCCCAGGCAGCCUAGUUUUCCCUACUCAACUCCUAGACAUCUGUAAACCUUCUUCAUUCUUCACAUUUGCACCCGGAAAGAGAUGACCCGGCACCCACUUUAGGCCACAGCUCUUUCUUUGGCACAAACCUGCCUGCUGUUGUGAAUUAUAAGUGUUCAAGUCUUGUCUCUGCCACCUUGAGGUUUUUUACCCCCGUACAAUGGUGAUAAGACCUGAUGUGGCUGUUAGGAGUAUCAAAUGAGAUAAUGGAUGUGAAAGUCUCACAGGACCGUAAAAUAUAAGCUGUCAACAAAGUGCACCUGCAAGCCCAGCUGAAUUCCACAGUAGUCAAGAGCCACAAGGUUUGGAGGGGUGGUGAAGUCUAGCAGUUCAGCAGGUAGGCUCCGGGGGCAGACAGCCUGGGUUCAUUGGUCUGGCCCUGCCUCUUAUUGGCUGUGUGACCUUGGCCAAGUGCUUAUCCCCUUGGUGCCUCAGUUUCUUCCAUUGUCUAAUGGGAAUAAUUAUAGCACUUACCCCACAGGACUGUAUGAAGGAUUAGAUUAGUUAAUCCAGAUAAAGCACUUGGCUCAGGGCUCAGUUAUGCAGCUAAUAUUGCUGGGAGCAAGGGUCUCUGCUGAGCCUUGAGAGAGAACAUCUUUAUUGGGCAGAAACAGACAAAACCCAAACAGAUCUCACUUGAAUGUAAUGCUUUAUGUCCUGGCUAUAUUUUCCAUAAUUUGGAACUCAAGAUUGAUUGUCUAGUAAGUUUUUUCAUGCUGAAACCAUUCAUCUUUUGAGUUUUCCUAAUAAAUAAAGGACCCCUGUGACAUGUCCUUGCCUUCAGAGUUUUGCUGCAGCAUCUGUCGUGAGCCCUCUGAUUUACAAUUCAGCAAAAAAGUGACAGACCGGGCAUUCUUGUUCAAUCCAAGGUGAUUGCUGCAUAGUCAUUUUUAACAAGACACCAGAUUUAGCUAAACGCUUGCAUAUUAAAUUCAGGACACUGGUUUUACAGGCUGAGGCCUUUCAAUUAUGAGUUGUGAGUUUAAAAAUCACAUAAAACGGACAGAGUGCAUUCCGUGCUGCCUAAGGGGACAAGAGACCCUUGUUAUUAGAGUCAAGUGUUGACUCAUUCUCCAUCUAGCGAAUGAAGUAAGUGAAGUAUUGAAUGAGUGGUUGUGAGGCCCUGGGUAAGGCGGUUACAUUUGUUGAAGGUCUACUGAGUGAUAGGUGUUUUGGAUGUAAGAUUAUUUAAUCAGGCAUUAUACCAUGAGUUAGGUAUUAUGACUCCCUGUCUACAGAUGAGAAAACUAAAACUAGAAAGGUUAAGUCAGGUGUCCAAGUUCACUUUCUUAGGACUGAGCCAGGACGUGAUCCCGAGAGCUUUCCCAAGGCCCCAUAUUACACUGUUUUAAGGUUACCAGUACCAGUAUGUUAUGUAUGAAUGGCACCCCCAGGAUCUUAUUCCUGAGUAGCUUAAAAUCAAAUAGGAGAGAUAAAACACGUUAGCAAAUUAGCAGUAACGCAUGGUAAAGUCCCAUGAGGGACAGAGAACGUGUUGUAUAUGUUCCUAGAAGAAAGAGGCAUUUGUUCUGAUGGAGACAAGGAGGAUGCCAAACAACUCAUCAUCUGAAAUCCAUUUUAUUGGGUCUUUCAUUUUUAUGUGAAUGUCCACAUAUGUAUUUCUGAUAUUCGAAGAAUUGUCAAAAAUAAUUAUGAAGCUGUGCCUAGCCCCAGAUGGGCGAGGAGAUCCUCUCAAAUGUCGCACAGUAACAUCCCUCUUUAUUUCCUCCUUGCCCUUUGCUGAAGAUGAAAAAUGUCCCAUUAUACUGAGUUGAGCUUCUCUCCCUCUAAACUCGAUGUCCAUCUGGCUCACACCUUCCUGAACAAAGACUUGAUUUGUAUCUGGGCCUCCACUGCCACUCCAGCCUUUUGGUCUUGCAGGUAUGUUGAGGUGACAGUAUCAGUGGAGAAAACAAAAGUGGAGCACGCAUGCUCUGCCGCAGGCUUGGCAAGAGAGAUUUUCAGCAGAUUAAAUGAGAGAUGCUGAGACCUGGUGAAUUUGGGGCCCAACUAUACCAUCCCCAUGAUACUUGGCUCAGCGGGCCACCAUCUCUUGAGCAGGGCAUGUACUCUGCCCCUGUGAGAGCUUGGCAGUGACCUGCUGCCCGAUGCUUCCUGCCUACUGUGGCCCUGCCUGCCCCGACUCUGCUUCUUCCCUUGCCCAUUGCCUUGUCUCUCUCUAUGCUGGAACCACACUGCUCUUCCUUCUGUGUUUGUAAUAUUUGGUGUGUGCUCUCUCACUCAUCUCUAGACCUUUGUCCAUGGCAUGCACUAUUUCUGGAGCCAUCUUUACCCUGUUUUUUACUUGGCCAAAUGCUACUCACAGCCCAGGCUUCAGCAUAGAUGUCAGCUCACGGAAGCCUUUGAGGUGUUUCAAUUGCACAUUGAAGACACCGCCCCUCACUGUACACUGCUCCUUCUAUUUUCUUUUCAUUGUGUGCAUGCACCCAUGCAUUUUUUAAAAUGUGAAAGAUACCACUCGGCUGGGCGCGGUGGCUCACGGCUAUAAUCCCAGCACUUUGGGAGGCCAAGGCGGGUGGAUCACGAGGAAAAGAGAUCGAGACCAUCCUGGUCAACAAGGUGAAACUUCGCCUCCACUAAAAACACAAAAAUUAGCUGGGCAUGAUGUUGUGCGCCUGUAGUCCCAGCUACUCAGGAGGCUGAGGCAGGAGAAUUGCUUGAACCCAGGGGGCGGAGGUUGCGGUGAGCCGAGAUCGUGCCAUUGCACUCCAGUCUGGGUAACAACAGUGAAACUCCGUCUCAAAAAAAACAAAAAAGAAAGAUACCACUUUGGGGGAAUAUGCUCAGUUGGAGCUGUUCUUGCCCUUGCUUGCCCCCCAUCCCAGCUGUACUCCUGAGUUAGCCCAUGGUAGAGAGAGGCUAUUGCACCCUGGGAAUAUCAGGGGACAUGACCACUUAAUGUCAAGGACACGUGCCAGUAGACAUGUUGGUGCACCCCGGUAGUGCACUGGUACCCAGUGACUAUAUAUUUUCCAUCCCACUGGGUCUUGUUUGAAACUACCACAUUGGGAUUAGGUCUGCUAUUGUUAGCCCUUCCUAUUCCCGUGCCUUCUUGGAGCUCCAGAGACCUUCUAGCAGUGAGUUCUCACCUAGCCCUCCUCUCUCUAACAAGACCUUAGGUCAGGAAGGAAGUUCCUGUAUGGUGAGAAGCCUGCCAGGCUUGGGAAGCCAAGGUGCCCCAUUGCAUAUCUGUUCCUGCUUACUGUUCUCACAGCAGAAGUCUUCCUGGGGGAGCUUCAGUUUGUCAGCUCAUCAUGAUUGUCCUCUUAAAAGACUUUUUAUUUGGUAUCGGAUAUUAGGAGGUCUGUCCUUCUCCUACCCUGUGCCCCUUCUCCCAGAAAAAGAGACUAAUGCACAGAGUGGAACUUUAGCUUUUCUUAAGUUGUACAGGAAACCAGAGGUCAAGACUCCAGCCCACAUCUUUUGACCCUUGAUGCAGGUCCUGUCCACUGUCCCAUUCCACUUUUUCUGUGGCUCCUUCAUGGCUCUGACCUCCCCCAUUCUCAGGAAGAAGCCUGAAACCCCCAGCCUACAAAAUAGCCCGUGAGAGAGAAGCAUCUGGAAGUGUGUGCUAAAGCUCUCAGAGCAAUGGGGGGAUUCUCCCACAUGGCUGCUGUCUGUAGGGUAAGGUUCUGGGCUCUCUAAGGUCUGAGAAUUUGAAUUCCUAGAACUAGAGAAGGCCCAUGUCAGUUCAAAAGUCAGAGCAGAGGAAAAUUAGGAAUCUUGUUCCUAAUGCAGAGGAACAAAAGAAGUGGAGCCACAGCCCCAGAACUGUCAACAGAAAGGGCAGAGGUAGGAUGGUCACUGGCAAAACUCCAUACCUAUUAUUUUUAUAAAAUCUCCCCCACAGCUCCUUGGACAGCCAUGUGAACAGAUAUCUUUGGCCUCUUUUUGCAGGUGAAGAAACUGAGGUUGGAGGCAGGCUGGGAUAAGGACCUAAGCCUCCUGAAUCCCAGCCUCAGGAUCUGCCAUCGUACCUCCCUGCUUGCAAAAAAUCACCCCUACCUCCUAGAUAUGUUCUUUCCUCCUCUCUGUGAAAAAAAAUAUCACCUUGGAAUGUACUUUCAGAGAUCAUUUCAAAAAUCAUUCACUGGAGCCUUCUAUGGCCAGGUUCCCUGGUAAGUUCCAGGCUUCCAGUGCAAAAUGACACAGGGACUUUCUCCUGCAAGCAUUCACAGCCUUCUGGAGAAGUUUAGGGUACAAAACUGAGGUUCUUAAUGUCUUUCUGGUCACAAACCCCUUUGAGAAACUGAUGGAAACUAUGAAGAAUUUCCUUAGAAAAAUGUUGCUGCAUAUUUUAAUUUAAAAACAAAUGUUUGCAUAUGGGGGUUGCUAUGAUUUGAAUGUUUGUGUUCCCUACAGAAUUCAUGUAGAAACUGAAUCUCUAAUACAGCAGUAUUAAGAGGCGAGGCCUUUAGGAGGUGCUUAGGUCACAAGGGUUCCACUCUUGUGGAUGGGAUUAGCGGGGUUUGUUGUUGUUGUUUUUUUUAGACGAAGUCUCACUGUCACCCAUGCUGGAAUGAAGUGUGGCAUGAUCCUGGCUCACUGCAACCUCUGCUGCCCAAGUUCAAGUGAUUCUCCUGCCUCAGCUUCCCAAGUACCUGGGAUUACAGGUGCCCGCCACUGCGCCUGGCUAAUUUUUGUAGUUUUAGUAGAGACGGAGUUUCACUGUCUUGGCCAGGCUGGUCUUGAACUCCUGACCUCGUGAUCCACCUCCCCUUGGCCUCCCAAAGUGCUGGGACUACAGGCGCGAGCCACUGCAACUGACCUGAGAUUAGCGUUUUAAUAAAAGAGCUCAAGGAGGCAAGUUCACUCCUUCCAUGCUCUCUUGCCCUUCUACCUUCUGCCAUGGGAGAUGUUACAGGAAGGCCCCAGCAGACACUGAAUGUCAGUGCCUCGAUAUUGGACUCCCCGACCUCUACAACAGAGAAAGAAAGUCUCUGUUCUUUAUAAAUCCCCAGGCUCAGGUAUUUUUUUUUUUUUUAUAGCAGCAUGGACAGACUAAGACAGGGGUUAGCAAGUCUCGCAGAGGCAGUGUGAGGACCUGCCACACCCUGCCUCAAGUGUUCAUGGAUUUCAGAUGAAGAAGCCAUGGGGCCGGGCACAGUGGCUUACUCCUGUAAUCCCAACACUUUGGGAGGCCAAGGCAAGUGGAUCACUUGAGGUCAGAAGUUUGUGACCAGCCUGGCCAACAUGGCAAAACCCCCAUCUCUACUAAAAUUACAAAAAUUAGCUGGGCAUGGUGGUGCACACUUGUAAUCCCAGCUACUUGGGAGGCUGAGGCAAAAGAACUGCUUGAACCCAGGAGGCAGAGGUUGCAGUGAGUCAAGAUCGCGCCACUGCACUCCAGCUUGGGUGACAAAGGGAGACUCUGUCUCAAAAAAAAAAAAAAAAAAAGAAGCCAUGAGACCAGAUGAUGCAGAUGAUGAGAUUAUAUAGUCUUGUUCUUAACAACAGUUGUUAAUUCUCCAAAGGAAACUUAUAACCACUGAACAGAGGAGAAAAGCAUGGGUGUGGUUUUUCUGGUCAUUGUCACCAUUGUUUCUGGAGUCAAAGUUCUACAUGUUUCACUGUCCUAUGGUCUUUGAUUUUUCAUCCCAGGGUUGGAGGGGAAACCAGACAUAGAGGGGGUAGCCAGCACCAGCCCAGUAGUGGCAUCUGGAGAGAAUGUAGCCAUCUAGCUCCAGUGUUCUGCUUCUAUGCAGGGAAGGCAAGAGGCUAGGUGGGAUGUUGAAGGAAACUUAGGGAAAGAGCUAGAAGUCAAGCACAGAAGUUCUGCAAUGGGAUUUAUCAGAGUUUUUAAGAUAACUCAACUUUGAGAUGAACAGGAGAUUGAGAAAGACUUUAUAAGGUCUUCCUAAGUGAUGCUGACAGCUAAGAGUGGCAUGCCCCUGAGAGUCUAUGAUUAUCUCACAGGAGAGAUCUUUAUGGGAGCCUUAUUAAGAACAGAGCAUGUCAGUGGGAGGAAGGGAGCAGCAGCAUGUUCACAGCUCUGGAGGGCAAGUGAGGCAGCCUCCUUGAUUUGCAAAGUGCUUUGCAGUCCUUUUUCAUUAUUUCUGCAACAGACCCAUGAGACUGGUAGAAAAUCACCCUGCUCCCCAUGAAUUGUAGAACACUAGGAGGUAGUGGGCUGUCCAUCUAUAAGUGUCCUUAUAAUAACUGGAUGGACUAUGGGUUUGCCCCUCUACAGCCAGCAUGAUGUGAAAACCUGGAUUAGAAUGUCUCACCACUCCCCAGACCUUGGAGUCCUGUGCUCCCUUGUGUAAGUGGCCUCCUCAGAACAAAAGCAUACAAGCUGGUCCCCCUAUGAGAUUGUAACCCCUCAAGCAUGCUCACUAGGUAGAGGAAGGUCUGACAUCCCCACUGCAGGCUUGAGGCUUGCCCUGGAGCCUGGUAACAUGAGCCUCUAUCUUAGGUGUGUGUGAGAAAAGAAAUGCAGAAAUGGAGUGGGCUGAGGAAAAACCCAGGAGAGAUGGAUCCUUGGAGAGCAUUUCGUCCAGUCCUUUCCCUUGACAUGUCGGGGAGAAAUGUGACACGGCUUUGCUGCUAGAUGGUGAAGACUGGCGAUGAGGGUGAUAAUGAUAGCACGUUUUCAGUGCUGCAUCCCAGUCAUGUGCAUGGUAUGACCCAUGCACCCUGCGAGAUGAGCUUCACAGCGUGGUCGAGUAUCCGUAUUAUAUACUGAGACCCUGGAGCUAGAGCCCCAGCACUCAGCUCCAGCACCUUCUGGGUAUAUAACUGGGUUUCUUACUAUGGCUACUGCAAAUGGCCACAGAUUUUGUGGUUUAAAACAAUAAGAUUUGGCCAGGCCCAAGCCUGUAAUCCCAGCACUUUGGGAGGCCGAGGCGGGCAGAUCACAAGGUCAAGAGAUCGAGACCAUCCUGGCCAACAUGGAGAAACUCCAUCUCUACUAAAAAUACAAAAAAAAUUAGCUGGGUGUGGUGGUAUGUGCCUGUAGUCCCAGCUACCCGGGAGGCUGAGGUAGGAGAAUUGCUUGAACCUGGGAGGCAGAGGUUGUAGUGAGCCGAGAUCGCGUCACUGCACUCCAACCUGGCACCUGGCGACAAAGUGAGACUCUGUCUCAAAAAAUAAAUAAAUAAAUAAUAAGUAAUAUUAUUUUAUAAUUCUGUUGGUCAGAAACCCCACCCAAGUUCACCGGCCUAAAAUCAAAGUGUCCGCAGGCUGUGUUCCCUUCUGGGGCUUCAAGGGGGAUAAUCCAUUCCUUGUUCUUUGAGAUCUUUGGCAAAAUUCAGAGCCCCCUUUUCAUCCUGGGUGGAGACUGAGGGCUGUUCCUAGGUUCUAGAGGUGCUGCCACAUAUCUUGGCUGGAGGCCCCUGCUUUCUUCCAUCUUAAAAGACGGGGGGGGGGGCGGGGGAGCAAGUUGAGUUUUUCUCAGGCACAUCUGACUCUUCCUCCAUUGUUAUAUCUCUCUUUCCUUCUCUGAUCCAGCCAGGAAAGGUUCUCUGCUUUUAAGGACUCAUGUGAUUAGAUUGGGCCUACCCAGAUAAUCCAGGAUAAUCGCCACAUCUCAUAACCUUAAUGGCAUCUGCAAAGUCCCUUUGGCCAUGUGAAGUUCCAGGGAUUAGGAUGUGGACCUCUCUGUGGAGGGAGGAGGCAUUAUUCUGCUCAUCACAGUGAUCUAGGGAAAUGUGCUUGACUUCUUGGUUUAAGUGGGGAAGAUGAUGGUACCCACCUUGGGUUAUGAGGUUGGGAUGUGGAACCCUGCAGCACAACACCUGGAACGUUGAUAAAUACUUAGUUGGUGUUAGCUGUGAGAGUUGUUAUCAAACCUGUUUUACAGUUGAGGAUGCUGAGAUUUCAGACUUUGAUUAACUCAACCGAAGAACAAGAUUUAAACCCCUUGCAAGAAAAGACAAACUGCACUGUAUUCAUCUCUUUCAUCCUGCACAGUGCUGGCCCAUAAAAGAUGUUCAGUAAAUGGGUGUUGAAUGAAUGAGGAGACCCAGAAAGAGUAAAUGACUUGGUCUGAGUGCUAUUAGACUCAGAGAAGGUCAAAGAUGAAGGGACUCUCAGAAGAAGUCAAGUUCGAGCCUCUCAUCUUAUACCUGGGAAUCUGAGGCUCAUUGGAAAGGGGGCCUCCCUCAGGAGAUGGGCAGAACAGAGCCCCAGAAUGUGGCCAGUGCCUGUCUGGCCAGUAUGUCUUCCUCCAGACCAGGCCAUAUUCACUUCCGUGAAGGUCUCUAGACCCCAUGGUCUAAGCAGAGCCAAAAGCUGGUCCAGCAGGAUAGAAGUGUUGACUCUGGCCUGACCCCUAAUGCAGCAUCACUCAGUAGAAGAGUGAGAGCUCCGCCCUUUCUUCCUGUGGUGGCCUUUAGAGAGGUCCAUCUGAAGCUUGUUCUCAGGCUUCUCUAGACCUCCUAAGGCUGCUCCCCAGUAGGACAGCAGCCAGAUGCCCAUGGCUCACUCUUGCCCAUGUUAAUCUUCUCUGCUGUGACCUAAGGCUGCAUGGCAUAGAUUGGGGUACUUGGGUUUUUUUGUGUUUUUUUUUUUUGAGACAGAGUUUCACUCUGUCAUCCAGGCUGGAGUGCAGUGGUGUGAUCUCUGCUCACUGCAGCCUUCACCUCCCAGGUUCAAGCAAUUCUCAUGCCUCUGUCUGCCUCCCAAGUAGCUGUGACUACAAAUGCACACUACCACGUCUGGCUAAUUUUUUUGUAUUUUUAGUAGAGAUGCACUAUGUGGGCCAGGCUGGUCUUGAACUCCUGACCUCAAGUGAUCCGCCUGCCUCGGCCUCCCAAAGUGUUGGGAUUACAGGCAUUAGCCACCACACCCGACCCAGAACUUGCGUUUUAGUCUGCCCAUUUACACUUACAGUUUUGUGGUUUUUAGGGCCAUUUGGCUUCUUGGGACUAAUUUUCUUCAUCUGUAGCCCAUCUGGACACUUUUAAGGUCUCAAACAAUCAUGGUUUCAGGUGCCCUUCAGAGGAUGGUUCAAAAACUUUCACAUCAUCCUCAGGGACAGAGCUGUGCUGUUUUUCCAAGGGCUUCCAGCUCCACUGAAGCUGAACACAAGUUGGCAGCCAGUGAUAUCUUUCUGGACAGCUGGUAAUGUCCCCCAUCUCCAUGGGAACCAGCUAAGGCAGGACAGGGUGCCAACCCAUACCUCUGCUGUGCUAGGCCACCUCUGACAUGAGGCAGCCACAGGAAAUGCAUUAUAUCUAUAUAGAGCAGGAUGUGGCCUUUAUGCUGUCUCAUUGAAAUCACGGCUUCGCUGUCUGUUUCAGGAGGAUUGAGUGAAAUCUGAAUUGGCUUUCCUAGGCAAGAAAUUCCAAGUGUCAUGAUGUCAGGGUUGCCAGGUAACUGAGUGGAGGAAUGGAGUAUAUGGGUUGUGCCUGGAAAGGGAGCUAGUGCGUGUUCCUACUACAUACCAGCUCCAGGCUUGGCACUUUUGUACAUUGCUUACCAUGGUUUACUGCAGGUAUGAUUUGCCCACUUUUACAGAAGAGGAAAUGGAGGUUGGGAGGUGGUGACUCUCCCUGAUCACCCAGAGGGAAGUAGCAGAAACUGUUUGGGCACUAGCUAGUUAAAUAUGAGCUAAGUUCAGUUGCCAAGUCAACAUCUGAGUUUGUGCACACUGUUGAGAUCUGAUGAGGCUGGAACCGUCUUCUGUGCCUUCUAAGGGGAGGAUGGAGUUCAUUCUGGCAAAUAGGGAAUCAAUAAAACAGUGGCAUAAUAAUAAUAGCUCCAUCCAUUAGUAAGACAGUAAGCAUUUAUUGAGUGUCUGCUGUGUGCUCUGUUCUAGUCACCAGGGGUAUACCUCAUUCAGUGAGCUGCCAUUCUAGUUUCAUGAAAAUGGAGAAACACACAAAGUUAACUAUAUGAGAUCAUUGCCAGCACUGAGUGCCAUGAAGAGUGUGUUGGAGGAUAGCGGGGGAGCUACUUUAGCUGAAGUAGGCAGGGAGAGCUUCCUGAAGGAAUGAAGUCUCAGACAGGAUGCAAAUGAUGAGAAUGGGGCAGCCAUGGAAAGGUCUGAGGAAAGAGCUUUCCAAGCAGAAGGAACAGGAGUACAAAGACAGAGUCAGUGGUGAGCCUAAAUGUGCAGGGAAGCCAUUGGAGGGAGUUAAUUAGGAGAGAGAUGAUCUGACUUCUACUUUGAGUGUGCUGUGGCUUCUGUGUGGAGGACGGGCUGUGGAGGGGCAGGAGAGGAAUCAGGGAGACCAAGGAGGGAGCAUCAUAGCCUUUCAGUUGGGUGGAAGAUGGUGGUGACUGGAACCAGGGUUGCAGCAGUAGAUGGUGAGAAAUUAUUAGAAUCAGGCAGUAUUUUGGAGUUAAAGUAAAUAGGGCCUAUUUAUGAUUAGGACAGUGGUGUUCUGGUAAACGAGCCAAGGGUGGGAGGGAGGCUCUUGUUGGUAGAGCUUGCCAGUUUCUGUGGUGUAAUAUUUCCACCACGCCUGGUUUCAAGCUACCCAUCUAACCAGUGAGUGAUGCACAGUUAGCUCUCAUGAGCCAGUACAGCCCACUCCAGCACACUACUGGGUUAGGCCAUGGAAGAUAGAAGCAAGAAGGACCAAAGAGCAUUCCAUGGCUUUGCUGUGAGCACCUGGGUAGAUGGGGAUGCUGUCUACUAAGGUAGGAAAGACUAAAGGUGGAAAGAAAGAGCCUCAGGGAGUGGUGGGAAAAAAUGGUUUUGCUCUGGCCAUGUAAUUUUUAAAUGCACAUUAGAUAUCUGUUUAUAAGUUUGGGCACUUGCAUUCUUUAUGUCAUUUAAAUGUCAGUCCUUUCAAUAACUAUGAGUUUGGUGGUUUCUUCUCCAUUCACAAAACAAUAAACUGAGGAUUCAAGGGACCAAGAAACUUAACCAAGGUUGUACACUCAGUAAAUAACAGAGCUGGGUUUGAACUUAGUUGAACUGGGUUUGAACCCUGCCCCAAGAGCCUAAUCAUUGCCCAAACUGCCCUCCAGAAACCAUCUUACUCUUAGCUUGAUGCUUCAUUUUCGGGAUUUAAAAUGUGGGUCUUUAGGACGUUUUGGAAUAGCCUUUAUGCCAGAGAAGUCAUCACAGAAUGGUUGCUCAGAGACCAGAGUCUGACCUUUCAUGUGUUGUGUGGUUUUGUUUUUGGAGGUAUGGUGGUUAGGGAAAAAGGAAGGUGAGGAUGGGAAACUGUUUGUUUCAUUUUGGUUUAUUGGCCCAUGCAGUGUUUUUUUUUUUUUUGGUUGUUUGUUGUUGUUGUUGUUGUUUUUUUUAAAAAAAAAAAGAGAGCGAGAGAGAAAUGUAAUUGCUUUAGACACGUCUGUGCGCCCCUGCCGCUGCCCUUGGGCUCCUCCAUUCCCUGCUAUCUCACCACCUGCCCAAUUGAUACACGUGACACUUGCUUGGCUUGGGAGAUAUCCAGUGUCCCCUGCUCUAGAGGAGCCCAGGUGUAGUGGCCUUUGCAGGCAGGCUCUUGGCUUCAUCCUUGCACCUCAGGGAGUGAGCACCUGGUUCCCACCCUGUCUCCAGGUCUGAGCUGGUCAUUAGAGCCUAGGGUGUGUUUGAUUUGCACUCUCUGCUGCUCACUUCCUGACCACUGCCAGCUACCUAAGACACCACUGUGCUUCAACGGUAAGAGCCGUGGCCUUUGGCCAGGCGCAGUGGCUCAUGUCUGUAAUCCCAGCACAUUGGGAGGCCAAGGCAAGAGGAUCACUUGAGCCCAGGAGGUCAAGGCUACAGUGAACCAUGACAGCGCCAUUAUACUCUAGCCUGGGUGACAGAGCAACACUCUGUCAAUAAAAAAUAGUAAUAAUAAUAAUAAUUGUGGUCUUUCUGAUUCUACACAUACUGAAGCAAUCCCACCUCUUUCCCUGACUUCAUUGGUAUUAUUUUCCCUGGUAUUAUUGUUAUUAUUUUGCUAAUAUAAUGUGGCUUAGAGGUACUGUUUUUCUGUCUACAACCUUUUGGUCUUCUUUCUGGUGAUAUAAUCAGUUUGAUGGUGUUCUUCAGUGUCACUAGGCAUGGCUGGAGCUGAGUGGAAGCUGUUGUCAGGUAGUCUGAGAGGAGCACAUGACUGCGUAAAUGGCUGUGUCUGCCUGGCUCCCUGGACUGAGAAGCCUCCAUUACCUGCCUGGGCAGUGCUGGACUUGGUUACCUGAAGAGGCAUAGCAGGACUAACAGGAAGGUGUAACCCUACAGUUGGCAUGACCAGGUAGCCCUGAGCAUGAUGCCAGGGCUGAUGGCAAUUUGCAGAGCCAAAAAGGGAGGCCAGCCUGCCUCCGCCUGCCUCCAUCUGCACAGUUAUAUGUUCCAAGUACAACCAGAGAGGAAGGCUUUUCCAGGCUCAGCCAGGGCCACCACCAGGCCAGACUGGAAUAGGCAGAGGCAUACCCAGAGAGUGGCAGGGCUCUUCAGGCAUUUCCAUGUAUGUACCUCUUUAGUAAAAGAUGUUUGAGCUGGUAACCCUAUGUGUGUGUGUGUGUGUGUGUGUGUGUGUGUGUGUGUAUAGAUAUACAGAUAAUAAAAUACAUAAGGAAAAAUAGAAAAAUAGAAAAAUUAACUAAAAGUUAUCAUAACUAGAAAUGUGAUGUUUUCUUCCAUGCCCCUAUGGAUCCUGACCACCACCUUUAGUCUGUGGACCUUGAGCACCAGGAUAGUGGGAAGAGCCUGGUGAUCAGAAAACUUAGCUCCAAGCCCCAGUUCUGCUAACUAACUUGCAGCAUGCUGUGGGCACAUCUCCUGGCCACACUGCUCCACUUCUGUCAGGUCUGCGUGAAUAUCACUUUCAGACCACCUGAUAUAAAUUAGCAUCCCACUCUUACCGCCCCUUCACUUACCCUGCUUCUUGUUUAUUAAAAGUGUAUAGUGCUACUUGACAUGUGUAUGUGUGUAUAUAUAUAUGUGUGUGUGUGUGUGUAUACAUACAUAUACAUGUCAAGUAUAUAUAUAAAUUUAUUUGUUUGUUGUUAUACAUGUUUUUAGCUAUCUUCGUGUAUGCUCCAUGAGAAUAAGGAUUAUCUUUUGUUCUUUGCGGUGUCUAUGGUACAUAGUCGGAGCUCAAUAAAUGUUUGUUGAUUGAGUGAAUUAACUUUUGCUUAAUAUAACCUAAUGCUACUUAGUAAACUUCUUUAAUGGAGGAGAAAUUAAAAAGACCUUCAUGCUUAAAAGGAGGAUCUGGAGGGUAGAAUCACUUUGAGGAAUAUCUGCUUUGUAUAGCAAUACCAUUGUUGUUUUUGUGAUUUUUGUUUGUUUGUUUGUUUGCUUGCUUGUUUUGAGUUUGAGUCUUACUCUGUCACCCAGGCUGGAGUGCAGUGGCAUAAUCUCAGCUCACUGCAACCUCCACCUCCCAGGUUCAGGUGAUUCUCCUGCUUCAGCCUCCCAAGUACCUGGGAUUAUAGGCACAUGCCACACCCAACUAAUUUUUGUGUGUGUGUGUAUUUUUAGUAAAGACAGGGUUUCACUGUGUUGGCCAGGCUGGUCUCAAACUCCUGACCUCAAGUGAUCCACCCUUGUCAGCCUCCCAAAGUCCUGGGAUUAUAGGUGUGAGCCAUUGCACUUAGCCCCCAUUAUUGUUUUUACACAUGUGAAAACAAGUACUAGGGACCAGGAGCUAUAAAUAGUUGGAUCUCUGCUGACUACCAGGCACUGUUAAUGGAUGGUUGGAUGGAUGGAUGAACGGACAAAUGAAUGGACAAAUAGAUAAAAUUUAAUCUUCACAAUAACCCAGUGAGAUUAAAUUUCAUUGUCUCCAUUUCACAGAUUAAAAACAAACAAAAAAAAAAACCACAAAACUUUGAGGCCCAGAAACUCAAGUGUAUGUAAUUCCAAAGUGCCUAAAAUUAUGACUAAGAGAAUGUGGGUACUCAGUGAGUGUCAGUGGAAUGAAAGAAAUCCCAGCUUGUUACACUUGUAGAACUUCUCAAGCUUUUCCAAUGAGUAGCUUUUGUGGAAGAAGAUGGUGAGCAUGUGCCCAGGAGAGUUGAAGGGCAUCACCUGACACACUCUACCUCAAGCCAGAGUUGCUUUUUUUUUUUUUUUUUGACAUCUGGCUUUUUAUUUUAAAAAUCCAUGUGAAUUUGUGUAUUUUCCUUCAUAUGGUGAAACGAACUCCUCCUAUUUGUUUUACACUAAAAAUUAUGCUUUUGAUCAUAAAAAAAAAAAAAAAACUUCAAUGAAAGCUGCUGCUCUGCAUUUACUACAGGAGUAGCAUGCUCCUGGUGUGAAUUUUGUGUACCUAUGAGCUGCCCAGCCUGGUGUACAUAACCACAGUGGAGGCUGCUGUGGGGCCUGGUCUUUUCCAGGCCCCUCAGUAGGAUUUCGUGCCAUUCGCCCCCUGUGCAAACACAGCUUGUCCAGAGGAAGUGGGACAUUCACCUCCAAGCCCUAGCCAUCUGUUGUUUCAGGCCUGGAUGAGGGCUUUACCUGGGCGAAUGGGGCCUUCAGCAAAUAGUGCCUCACCUGGUCCCCUGAUAAGGGGUUACCUCUUCAGCAGAUUUUAUAGCUCUGCCCUUCAUCCAUAAUCAUAGUGUGGGUGGGGAGAGCCAGUAUGAAAUAUCCCUGAAGCUGUCGGAAUAGCUUUUAUGGUUGGUUUUAUAUAAACCUGAGUUCUGGUGUGGUAUGUGAAAUGGACCACUGAGACUCAGCCCAUAAGACUUUGAUGUCACAUAGCUGAGGGCCUCUUUUCUGGUUCAUGUUUCAGUGACUGGGUUUCUGAGCAUCUUCUCUAAGGUAGGGGUCCAGGCUCCAGGAUUUCCAUUGACUUGUGGAUAAGGUUUCUUCACUCUUUAUGUCUUUGCUUGCCUCUUCCUGGAAACUGAGUCCAGGGAUGUACAGAGUCAUGUGUGGUUUAAAACUGGAAGGGAUCAUAAAGACCAUCCCAGUCCUUUUAUUUCUCAGAUGGGGAACUGAGGCCCAGAGACAGAAAGGGAGGCCUUGCCCCAUUGUUCUCUGCCAGUCUGCAGCCUCUCAGCCUGAGGGCUGUGGAGUUGGUGCCCUGGGUGUCUGUCCCUGUCAGGUAACAGGUGAGGCUUUGUUCAGCUUUUCUUAUCUGGUUAAUCUCCAACCUGUGGGUAUGUCAAACAACCAGGACCCAAAGACAGGAAGAGAUGAGGAGAAUGAGGAUGUACAAGUCCAAAAACAGGACGGCACAAUUAUCUGGGCAGUGUGGCUUACGCUUUAUGUGAAAGACUCAGUUGUUCCAUGCUCAGAUUCGGCCCAGCCUACUCCAUAGCCAGGUGCAGACCUUAGCUGGCAGCUCACCUCCCAGCCUUCUGAAAUCUGGCAUGGGGUAGGCUCAGAGUUGAUUCACCCUUACCCAAGGAAAGGAUUCCAUUCAGGACUCUGCCCAAAUGUCACCUCUUCCAAGAGGACUUCUGUGACACCUUGAUUCACAGAAGUCGUCAUCAGUUGCCAUCCCCACGUUCUGCUUAAUUCUUCAUUUAUUACCACAUUUCCUGUAUUUAUUUGUUCAUUUUCUUUUUUCCUUUUCUAGAAUACAUGUUCCCUGAGAGGCAGGUCUGGAUCUGUUUUGUCCCCUGCACCUAGAAGAGUACCUGGCAUGUUCUCUGUGAGCGGGGAUUAGAGAGAGAGUAGGACUUGCGGGGGACAGCUCGGAAGGACUAAGAGAACUGGGAAAAUGGAAGGGACGGGGUCAAGGAAGAGAAUGAGCACCCUUUUCUGAACCCCCUAAAUAAAUCUGAGUGCAGACUGGGUUUGAAAAGAGCUGCUUCAAGGGGCUCAUCUGUGAUUCCUGGAAAAUCACGAGGCUUGGGCACUGGCACCUUAAGUCAAGGGUUUUUGAUUUCCUCGUGGUCCAACCUAUAUUUCCCAAGGGGUCUCAGCUCCUCCUAGGCUCAAUAUCCUCUCCACCUGGCAGGACAGGGCCCUUCGCAAGAUGGAGCCUGGUCCCAAUACAGGGUGUGCCUCGGUGACAAUGACAUCCCUGUGGCUACCUGCCAGUGCUUUUCUCAUCUGGUUGGCAGAUUAGAGAGAGAAAGAAAAUGUAGGGGCUUGGAGAGGCCCAGACCAUCUGGUCCAUUCCCAUUUAUUGCAGAUGGGCAAGUGCGACUGUUGCCCAGAGAGGGUAAAGGACCUACCUAAGGACACAUAGUAAGGCAUUGACAGAUGUCUACUUUUAAAAAAAUUGUUUUCUCUAUUAUUGUUCAUCUUUUAUGCAUCCUUCCUCCUCCAGCCUCUCCUACAAAAAAAAAAAAAAAAAAAAAUCCACAAAAGCUUAGCAAGGACUUCCUAAUGCUUGCUGUGGCAUAACUGACCCUCUUGAGCCCCAUAGCUCUGAGAAGUUCAUGCAUCUUCAGAAAUGCGCCCAGUAAGACGAAUAGCGUUUCUGUUGAGAGAGAGUGGCUCUAAUGAGUCAGGCAUUUCCCAGGUUCAUAUUCUUUGGAAUUCUGGUUCUGUGAGCUUUUAACUUGUGUUCUAUACCUCCCCUCAAAAGAGUUGUAAGGUCAAGUAAGUGCAGAAAAUGCUGCCUGCUACAAAACUCUUGAAGAGAGACAAUGGACUUUAGCAUAUUAAAGGGUCUGAGAAGUUCUAUAAUUAAGAAAAAUCCAACAGCUCUUUUUGUAUAAUUCAGAGUUUCCCACACUUGUUUGACCUCAGAACUCUUUUUGCAUGAAAAACUAUUGGCCUUUCACAGAGCUAGGCUUCCUCCAACCACAGACCAACCAGACCACUCACACAAGGGAGUACUCAGCACUUACUUUUCAUUUUAUACAGUCAUGGCUUUUUGUUACUUCAGUGUAAAAUACACUGGGGAAAAAACAUGACAUAUAAGAGGCCUCCUCCAAAGGGAUUGGGGUGAAGUACCCUCCAACCAACUUUUCACUUCUUAUAACCAGAAAGACAAGAGACAGCUUCAUAAAAACAUCUCUUCUUCUUUAUAUCCUUGUGAUUCUGUUUUUAUUGUUCUAAGAGCCUACAGGCUCUUUCCAUUUUGUGAAUGCAGCAAAACGUGCCCCUUACUCAAAUGGCUUUCAAGACAGGCCAGAAGGACUUCACCAUAAGGAAAAUGUAUCUGUGCCACUCAUGUAGCUUGGGAGGUGGAGUAGCAUUGCACUAAGUGGAUUUGAAUCCUCCCAUCACCAGGAAUCAUUACUUAAUCUAGCUGUGUCUGUUUCCUCAUCUGUAAAAUGGAGUGCUUACAGUACCCGUCUAAGGCUGUUUUGAGGAUUACAUAAGAUCUGUGUUUAACAUUUAGAAUGGGUCCGGGUACAAAGCCAAUACUUAAAUAUUACUUUUAUUGUCAUAGAAUGAGAACUCUAUGUAUUUUGUUCACUACUGUGCAUGUCCCCAGUGUCUAGAACAGGGAUUAGCACAUAGCAGGUGCUUAGUAAAGUUUGGUUGGAUGAAUGAGUGAAUGAGAAAAUGAGUGGAAGGUCUUCAAUGUAUAGAGAGCAAUAUACUUUCUGAGAGUCAGAUUCUAGCAGAGAAGGCACCAGAUUAAAGGUGAGCUGCUUGCUGUAGGGCAAGACUUUUGCCUCCUCUGCUGUGUCCUCUCUGUGUAUGAAUGAGAAGCCAACGCCCAAGAGGGUACAAGUCAUGGUGUGGAACUCAGAAGCAGAACAUGAGGUAAUUUCCUGGAAGGUGACGUGUCAUCUGAAUGUUUCAGGCCUUAAGGUUCCAAACUUGUGGAUUUCUAUUCCUGGUUACUACACACAGGUCUGUGUCUGCCCAGCCAGAAAGUUGCCAGCAUGAGAGUUGCCACCAUUUAUCCCUUGGAGCUUCUCAGAGAGGAUGCUGCCUGUGGAGCUGCUUUUGAAGGGGAAGUGCUUCUAGCUGUCUGAAGCAGGCUGAGGCUCCCCUUGGCUGCCUUGACACUCUUGUUCCCCAAAGGCUCUGUGUCCCCUUGUCUGUGGAUUGGCACCACAUAAUGGCAUGCAAACCCUUGGCCCGCUGAUGUUGAUUUUACUUUCUCUUGAGGAAAUAUAACCAAGGACCAAAAUAAACAGCCCAGAUGCUAUGCUGACCCGACUCUGCUGGGAAGCGUGAUAUUGAUUUGCCCCCAGCCUCUCUGCCUUCAGUAUCCUCAUCUCUGCCUGAGGCUCCUAAGCUGGAAGGUUGAUUCACUUCUUUCCUUGGCAGUGUGUUCACCCAAACACCCACACCCACUUUGUUUAUCUUCCUAAAGAAGCCAGCAUUAGUUAUUUUUAAGGACUGUGAGUGACCCUAAGUGCCCAACCCUCCUGGUCUGGCUGGAGGUAGGAGGUCACACCCCAAGGAGAGUCUACCUGUCUCAACCUCUCUGGCUGGAAAACCCAGUAGCCACUAGCCUAGGGAAUGGCAAAGGCCUGAGCAAACACUUGUGCAACCAGCUAGGCUCAAAGCCUUGGCCCUCUGGCCAGAAUGCCCUUAGGCUGGGGGUACUCAUGUUUGGUGGGGUAGGGCAGUUCAGACUGAUCUCCAGAGAGGGGGUUGACAGACAUGCUUGUGGCCUGGAGCUAAAUACUGUCUUUAGGGAAGUGCAGCUGGAGAGAAGGGUUAGCUGUGAUUCAGCCAGGCCUGCAGUUCCUUACCCUCACCCAUGAGGCUCUAAUACCCAGUUUGGGGAGACCUCACUGAAAGCCUGCAUGAACCCAUGAACUAUUUCAAAGUUGACCCAGCUUCCCAAUUCUGCAGUUUCCAUUUGCCCCAGUCCCAGUCCCUGGGUGGUUCGCUUCUUAAAUCCAGGGAGUCUUCUCCAAGGGAAUAGGAGUUUUUGAGGGAGUGUGGUUCAGAAUAGGACCAGCCCCUUGCCCUCUGGUUUCCCCCAACUCCAUUCCAGUAACCACACUGGGCAUGCAGGGGGCCCUUUCCAACUCAAAGAUCCCUUAAGAGAAAACAUUCUAGCCUUAGAAAUUGGGGAAAACAGUCUACCUCUGUCCCCCUGGUCAUCUGACUGGGCCAGAGAACCUGUUUCCUUGAGGGGUGGGCAGUGUGUGGCCAUCAGGAUCUGCACUUGGCUAGUUAAUGCUCACCCACCAGCUGCCUGUGAAAAUGCUGUCUAUGUCUUUCUCACCCCACAGCUCGUCGGGGAGUUUAAAUAAGGUGCUGGGGCACUUUUCUGCAAAAGACAUCUAUUGGCUGACCAGGCAGAGAUACUUAGCCACAACUCACAACUCAGGGUGCAGUUGAAAGAGGAAGAAGGGGCAUGAUGUAUGGAUCUCAUGCCCCCUUGAAGGCUGGUGAUUUAGAUAAGUUAUGUCUUUUAGCAUUUGACUCCCUCAAAGAGACUGCAGGACUUCCCUCUGAUUGCAGGUGGCUCAGUCCACUCAGAACACCCAGAAACUUGAUAGAGAUUUAGAAUCUUAAAAAGACAGAGCUUAGAGCAUGUAGCCCAGCCCAUCAACAGAUGAGGAACUGAAUCCCGCAGAGACUAUGAGGAGGCAGGUAGAACUAACAGAGCUGAAGGCCAGCUGGACACUAUGCAGUCUAGGCAAAGGGCUCCGCUGCUGCAGCCUGUGCCUGUCCACCAUGUCCCUUUGGCUCCUGGCACCUGCAUGCUCAGGUCUCCUCGACAUCCCCUGAGAGCACACACCCAACAAUUGUUCCUAAAGGGAGUGCUCCUAGGGGAAUGGCCGCUGAGAGGGAGGCUUCCAUUUAACAUGGGACUUUGGUGGAAAUGCAGAGUGUGUCCUUACUCUACUGGGAUCACCCAGGCCUGUUUGGGAGCUAAAAGAGUGGCCCAGCCUUGUAGCUAGCCACUUGCCUGUUGGAUUAAGAUAAAUGUGCAUGAUUCUGGCAGGAGAUAAGAUAUUUACCUUAUUUUUUUGACAUGCAUGGAUUUCAUGGGCUCUGUGUGAAGUAGGAAGGGAAAUGGAGUGAUAGAAGUUGGUAGAUGAGCAUUUUAUAUAUAGAACUUGGACUUUUAUCAUUUGAAGUUUUCACAAAAUGGGAUCAAAGCUCCCCAGUUUUCACUGAGAUGGUGAUUCUGAUGGUGAACUGGUUGACCUUUGCUGGCAAGUCUACAUUAGUCUACCAUGAGGAGAAGAAGUGUGUGGUGUGAGCAAUUCUGGCUGAAGUUUAAUUUGCAGAAUCAAACCUUAGGCAUGACUUUCAAAAUAGUUGUGUUGGAGAAAAGAGAGCCUGGGUUAACUAUAUCUUUUCUAGUACCCUCACCAAACACAGACACACACACAUAUACAGAAGAGAGAGACAAAGAGAGAAAGAGAUCAUUCAGUUUGAAUCCAUAGAAUUGGCCAUGGGAGGUAGAUUGGAGGAGAGAAAGAGAAAGUGGAGGUGGCUUUCUUAGGAGCUUUAGACAUUUCCAGGUAUGACUUCCAGAUGGAUCUGAACCUCAGUGUUUUAGGCCAACCCAGUCAGUUCAUAUUGGCCACGGUCAGAGAGACAAAGUACCAGUCUUUGGUCACCCUGCAAAAAACCUGACUCUCAGUCCAGUGCCUGUUACUUCUACUAUGUUACUUCUUUCCUAGAGUGACCUUUCCGAGCUAGUCCAUGGCUCACCAGAGCAAAUUGGUCUCAUGGCAUUAUAGUUACACCAGCGCUUUGUUUCCAAACUCAGUGAUCCUCUGUAAUUGCCAAAUACCUAUGGCUCUGAAGGACUUUUUAACACAAAGGCAAACUCACCAAGAGAAAACGAAGUUUCACCACCAUUUAAAGUUUUCAAAUUCUGAAUAUAUUCUGAAAAUGGUAGUUAGAGGUGCUUUAGCCAAGGACCGUGUCCCAGGAGUGUGUAGGAUUGUGCAUUUGGAUAUCUGUGUCUAGCUUCAUCACUUAUUGCUGGGUGAUCCUGGAUAAGUUUACUUAAUUUUUCUGGGCCUCAGUGGCCUCAUCUAUAAGAGGGGAGUUAUAAUAGAACUUAAGUCAUAAAGUCAUUGCAAGGAUUAGGUGGAAUGCUGUAUAUAAAGUACUUAGCACAUUGCUUAAAAUAAGUACUCAAAAAUAUUUGCUAUCAUUAUUUUAUUCUUUUGUUUUCAGGUAAGUCUCUCUUAUAAUUGUACAUGUUAUCAAUCAGUGCAAAUUAAUAUGAUAUCAAGAAUAUAAAGAAACAAAAAAUGAAAGAGUAAUGACAUUAGCUGGUGGGGUUUAUGCAGUCUUUGAUUAAACAGGUAUUUGUUAAGCACUGACUGCAUAUUGGAGCUGAAUAAGAUAGAUGUGGUCUUACCUUCAUGAACCCUCCUCUUGCAGGAGAGAGAGACAUUUAAUGAGUAACUGCCACUGUGCAAAGCAUUGCCACAGGGAUUCAUGCAUCUGAAAGAGGAAGGAAAGAGGAGAAACUAUGCAUUCUGGUGGCCACCUCACUGCUGCAACCAGAAGAACACAGCCAUCUUCCUGGAAAUCAUUCUGUAUAAAUUUAACUCUAAGGGGAAAAACACAGCCGGUCCAUUUCCAAACUGGAAUUCUCCCCCCAUGUGUUUUUGGGAAGCACAGAUGCCUUGGCGUUUUCCCUCUAACAAUAACAGAGAUUGUUCACAAUUAUGAAUGGUUUUGGUUGACUUCAACUCCAACAAAACCAUGAAUCAUUUCAUAACUUCUGAAAUUGCAAAGAAAUAACAAACACUCUGGCUCCAGAAAAAAAAAAUGGACACAUUAUAAAGCAAAAAGUCGACUAAAUGAAAAUGUGAAUUCUUUUUUGUUUGUUUAGCAGCUGCACAUUGCAAGGCCAGCUGGCAAUGGAUAAAAGAGCCAAGUUAGUAUCUAGAUUCCUAGGGUACCACUUGUACAGUCUCAUCUAUGGGAUCCAUAACCAGCCAUGACAUAAACUUCUUUCUCCAUCUUUCUCAAAACUUUGGGCCAGCAACAUUAUUUCAUGCGUUUUACAAUAUUCUGAGGAAGUGAGGGUGAAAGAAGAUGCUUGGGCUGAGGCUCAUAACAGAGAGUCUCCAUCAUGGGUUUCAUCACAGAUACCCCCCACAGAUACACACACACACACACACACACACACACACAGUAUGACUUUUUUCAGCAGGCUUGCUACAACCUCCUGAUAUCUGGCCACAAGAUGAGGUUUUCAAAAUGUGGGACGAAGAGGAUCAGGCUUCCCCCAGUCGGUGACAGCCUCUGAGUUACCAACAGGACCUGCCAUUAGAGUAAGGUUGGCCGCUCCUUCUCUUCUCUCUUAAUUUAGAAAACUGCAUCCUUUCCUGAAGCUGAAGACACCAAGCUAUCCUUGAUUGCAGUCCAGCCUUGCCUAUGCAUGGGGUCAGAGACACAGUGGGUUCCAACACCUUAGGGCUGGGACCAGAUUGGAGAGUGGGGGACAAGCAUAUGACUACAGCGUCACAGUUGCAGAGUCUUGCUCCCCACCCUAUUGACCUUCUUUUUUCACAUUAAUACUGUCAACAUAAUGGUGGCCACCUCACUGCUGCAAGAAAAUGUGUUGAAAAGAUACUUCUUUUGGAAAACAGGCUUGGGGAAGCAAUUAUUCCCCCUCAAGUCUGCCUCCAUUCCUGAUCUCUUUCCACACCCGCCAGGUCCAUGGCAGACAGCAAUAGACUCAGACCCAUUGGCAUAGCAUGUCCUUCCCACACACGCAUUUUUUUAAGUAAUAAUUUUGUUAUACAAUUAAUGCUUAUUUCUCAUAGAUAAUGUAGAAUAUGCAGACUUUAAAAUGGAAGAAAAUAAAUAUAACCUGUAUUUCUAUUCAUCAGAGGGAAUCAUAAUUAGCAUUUGGGUAUAUAUGUUUCUAGACUUCUUUCAAUGCCUGUGUAUGUGUUUUUAAACAAAAGCUAGUAUCAAACUGAACACAUAAUUUUGUUGCCCAUCUUUACUCUCACUGUAUACUCAACGUUUUCCCAUAUCUACAAAUAUGAUUGCAUAUCACUUUGUAUGCUCUGCAGACAUGUCCGUAAAUCUCUGGAAGAUUUUUCCUUUUGUGUUCCUCUCCCUGCCAUCAGAGAUGGCAACAAUAGAAAAUACACUUUACUAUCACAUCAGACUCACAUCCUGAGCACUGUAGUAGGUUUUGCAGUAGCCCAUCACAGACACUUUGCCUGAGACCCUUCUUGCUUUAGCUGUGAUUAUGAGUGCCCACCUCAUUCAUCAGCCACUUGAUUGCCAAGGUAGAGGCCAGUUCUGUAAAAUGCUCCACCAGCUUUAGCACUGUGAAAACCAUGGGAAGUUGCAUUGGUGCUGCUCACAAGCCCCAAAUAGGUGGUCUCAAAAGAGAAAAAGGACUAUGUUUUAAUAAAACUCCCUUUAAUAAUUAGGUGCUUUAAUAAAAGACCAUUUGGGUCACUGUCUACCUCCUCGGCCUAGACUUCCUGCAGUUGGGAAAAACCUCCAGGGACAGAGAGGGUUCUAGGGACAUGCUGGUCAGGCCCUGCUCCCAGAUGCUGAGUCCACAGGGACUGAUAAGGCACCACCCCAUAAGAAUGUCUGUUCCCUUUUGGAGCCUACCCUGUUGGUGCUGAAGCAUCACAUUCUUCAGGUUCUAAUGAAGAUUUACUUCAUUGAUGAGUUGUAGAGAUAAUCAUUUAAUGUUUAUUAUUCUGAGGAGAAUUUAAGAAUUUUUAUAUUCAGAGCAGAUUGUCAAAUGUGGCAACCACUGCACAUAAUCCACGUGCUAGAUCCUUAUAGAUGUCAUUAUUAUCACUGGAGCCUCAGCUAUGUUUGUCUUUCCCAAGCUGGGUGAAUCGGAUUGCCAGUUAUUCACUAAAGAUAUAGACAACACAUGACUUCUCUUAGGGUAGGUUGCUGGGCUAUGGCAGUGCCUUGGAGUGGGGAGUGCAGGUCUCAGCAACUAUCCUUGAGUCAUUCAAAAAGGAGUCCUAUCUCCACAAAGAUGCUCAUAGGUCAGGCUUUUGAGUCAGAAGAACAGCUUGCAGUCGUCCUCUGGGGCCACAGGAGAUAAUUGGGUAGGUGUUCUGGAAAGUGAAGAAGAAAGAGGCUUCACAUAACACAUCCUGGAUUUAGGGCGGGGACAUAACCAGCCCCAGUGCAAUCUGACAGUGGAGAGGGGAACUCUUCCUCAGGUGUGUCUGAAGGCUACCUCAGCAGCCUCCAGGGAAGUGUCCUCUCAUUGGUCUCAGCUCCGUAUGUGGAGGGCUCGGGAGUGGUUAGAGGCAGGCUCGUGUGGACACUGUUCCCUGGACUGUGCUUGUCUGUAUGGUCAUGGAAGACUUUUUUCUGCUUCCGCGAAUCCAAAUUCAGCUUAGCAAACUGUCAUUGGGCACCCGUGCACGUGCCUUGCCUCUGGUAUCUGGUUGGGCAGGCAAUGUAAACAACAGGAACUUCACAUCCCAGGGUGAUAGUAGUUUUCAGCCACUUUCUCAAAACUGCUUGGUUUUUGAACCACCAUCUGUCAUAGCCCUGUUUCAUGCUUUUAUUGAGUAGUGGGUCCUAUACGUGCACUUUGAGCACGUCAGUUUGACAGCAUUUCUUCCGUUGUCUUGAACUUUUAUGUGAACCUUGUAUCAGAAUCUAAUUUUUCCCAUUUCUCUCUACCUUUGCCAAGUCUUCCAUCUAAUGCCUACACACGACCUGAAGAGAAACUCUGUGGCCUGAUUUGGGUUUAAUUGGUGGGUCUUAGAUUUCCCCUCCCUCUCCAGGCUCAGGGUGCCUCAUGGCUGGGCACUGAGGGUGACAAGCUUGUGAGCUGUAGAGCAGGCUGGGGUGUUUCUACUGCACAGUCACCCCUCAGAGUGGGAAGAGUGCUUAUAAAACUAGAACAGGAUGAGACUGUGGAAUAUGGUUCGAUUUGCCUCAGCUCAGGAAGCCCACCCCUAUGAAGAAGGAGAAGGCAGGUAGAAGCCAAGGGAAUGACAGUGAAGGCCAGGAUGCCUCCAUGGGGAAGAGUGCUCCUUCCAGGAGGUAGCAUCAGCACCAUCCAGCUCUCUCUAGGGCUCUGGACUCUCUGUGUACUUGGUGGCCCAGGCUCUACUUUCUGCUCUGUGGAGUGGGACCUCAAGAACCAAGCAAUCCUGGCACUGCAGCCCAAGGGGAACAUGCAGUUCUUUCCUACGGGCCUUAUGGUGCUCUAACGCUGCUUCUAUGGAACUUUUCCCAACCAGUUCAGAGCACUUUGAGGGGCACAGUGAUGCUGGGAGCCUGUGUUGUGAGUCCCACUGCUAUCCAGGGAAGGCCAGUGUGGAUGAGUAGCAGUGCUGGGGAGUGAAACAUCACUUCUCAAGGCCUGUCCUCAGGCUCAUGUGCAGCACUAGCAAUGCAAUGCUGACUGUACACAGCAUACCACUCAGUCACUGAGCAGGGGAAGUGAGCCCUUUUUAGUUCUCUUCCAGUGCUUCUGAUCAAGUUGAGGAGAGAGUCUCCAUUGGGCACUAGGGUGGCCUAAUAUUCCUCUAAAACGUGCCAAUCUUUUGAAACAAAGAGCCUUUUGUAGAUUUGUUUGCAUCGUGUUUGUUUUCGUGGUUGUCUCCUAUUUAAAGCAGGUGAUACCAUUUAAGGCAAUGAUGUAAAAUUUCCUUUUUAAAUAAUAAGAUAUAUUUGUUUCCAGUAUACAGAAUUAAACUACCAAGCAAAUGAAACAUAAUGGUCUAGGCUAUGACCAAAAAUCAUGAGGGUAGUCACUGAGUGACUCAAGUUUGAGAAAUGCUGAACCAGACCUGCUCCUUUCCUUACCUGCAGUCCAGUGUCCCUUCAUGACAAGGCAUUCGAGAAGGUGUUUUGAUUGAGUGUGUGUUUAUAUCACUCAUGAGGAGCUCCUAGUUAUAAGCCUGUGGGAUCUGGGCAUGAGCAGAGGCCAUGCUGCUUGCUGGCAGAAACUGGCCUGAGCUGUAAUGGGAAGCUACACUGGGAAGAUGAAAAGCCCUGGCCUCAGAAGCCCUGUACCUGGAAAAGGGUUAAAUCCAAGGGUGGUCACUGCUGGAGUUAGGGGGUGCUGGUUCAUUCACUCAACCCACUCUUCUGCCAGCCCAGGACAGCCUCUGGGGCACAGCAGUGAUAGCAAAAACGCUAAUAGUAAACAUGCAUUGAACUCUCACUGCAUUCUGGCACCUCACCUGAGUCAUUUACUUCUCAUAAUACUGAAAGGUAAUAGUGGUAGUGGAAGUAUUAAGAGGAGGAGAAGAAGGAAGGAGAUGAAAAAAAGCUUAAUAUUUAUUGAAUAUUCACCCCAAAUGAUCUAUAGCUUGAAUGAAAUUCCUAUCAGAAUCUUAGGUGUCUUCUUUAUAGAAACUGACAAGCUGGUUCUAAAAUUCAAAUGGAAUUUCAAGAGAUUCAGAAUAGCCAAAAUAAUCCUGAAAGAGAAGAAUAAGGUAGGACUCAUACCUCCCAAUUUCAAAACUUAGCUACAAAGCAAUGAUAAUCAAUAUUACAUGGUACUAGCAAAAGAACAGGCCAUAGAUCAAUGGAGUACAAUUGAGAGUCCAGAAAUAAGCUUACACGUCUAUGACUGACUAGUUUUUGACAAGGUCCCUAGAAGAGACCAUCUAGUUGUAGGAAACAAGCUCAGGGCUGCCACUGAUUCUACAUUAUGAUGAGUUCUGUAAUUAUUUCAUUAUAUAUAACAAUGUAAUAAUAAUAGAAAUAAAGUACACAAUAAAUGUAAGGCACCUGAGUCAUCCUGAAACCAUUCCAUCCCCCCAACCGCAGUUCGUGCAAAAUUGUCUUACACGAAACUGGGCCCUGGUGCCAAAAAAGCUGGGGACUGCUGCUUUAGAGGAUAUCAUCAAUAAAGUACAAAGACAACCCACAGAGUGGGAAAAAAUAUUUGCAACUCAUAUAUCUGAUCAGGUAUUUGUAUCAAAAUAUGUAAAGAAUUCGUACAACUCAGUAAUAAAAAGACAACCUAACUUAAUCAUAGGCAAAGGAUCUGAAUACAUACUUCUCCAAAGACAAUAUACAAAUGACCCAUAAAAUAAGCACAUGAAAUGGAUGGAGAAAAAAAGUAGAUUACUGGUUGCCAAGGAAUGGGAGGGAGCCCAGGAGGAUAAGGGGGUGACAGCUAGAGGCUGCAGGGUUAUUUUUUUAAUCAGAUCUGUGUUCCAGAAUUGACUCUAGUGAUGGUUGUACAAAUCUGUAAAUAUACCAAAACAAACUAAAAUGUAUACUCUAAAUAGGUGAAUUGUAUGGCAUGUGAAUUAUAUCUUAAUGAAGCUGUCAAAAACAUUUGUGGAGCUCCAGGCAUAGUUCUAAGCAUUUUAUGUAUAUAACUCAUUUACAGUCACCCAACUAGGUAUGCCUUAUUAUAUGAACAUCCUCGUUUUGCAGCUGAGGAAACUGAGGCAGAGUUGCCCAGGGCACUAUUAACAUCUCCUUCUAGCUCAUAAGGACAAUGAAGCACACAGUUUAGAGUUUGUGUUCUGUCUGUAGUCAUACAGCUGGUACGACAGAAGCAAAAUCACAGUCUGAUCCCAGGUUCCCACUCUUGGCCACUUGCCGUGCUAUACUACAGGUGAAAGCAAAGGGUUCCUGUCCGUAGGAGCUGUAAUCUACCUGAGCGUAGGCACAUAAACGGGAAAGAGGUUGAAAAACUGUCUGGAUGAACACCUACCUACUAAUUCGCUCAGAGACUUUAGUUAAGGCACAGCAUUCCUGGGCCUCAGUUUCCUCCUCUUUUAAACCAAGUCUUAGGCUGGAUGAAAGAGGGCCCCAUCCUGGGGUUCAUGAAGGUAGUAAUGCUGGUCCGUGGAUAACCCUUAGCAU